UCCUCUUCUUCUCCUUUCUUCUUCUUCUUAUUUUCCUUUUUCCUCUCAUUCUUUUUCUUCUUCUUCCUUUCCUAGCUAGAUAUAUAAAACUUUUCUAAAAAUGUAAGUUUUGCAUAUAUAAAACUUUUUCUUCUUCCUUCUUCUUCCUUCUAUUCCUUCUUCCUAAAUAUAUAAAACUUUUCUAAAAAUGAAACUAACCUAAAAUGUACUAAAUCAGAGAACAUAUAUAGAUAAAACUUUUCUAAAAAUCUAACUUUUGCAUAUAUGUAUUUUUAAGACAUCAUUACAAAUGAAAAAUACAUACAUACAUACAAAAAACAUGUAAAAAAUACAUACAUACAUAUAUGAACAUACAUAAAAAAAUACAUAUAUCUAAAAAAUACAUACAUACAUAUAUGAAAAUCUAAAAACAUGUAAAAAAAUAGCACGGCGGCGGGGCAGUGGUUUAUAAGCCCCACUGCCGCUCCCCUCUCGAGCUCCUCUCCAUUGCAGGCUUACGGGCCUAAUUGUCACUGCUAUGCCUGAUGGGCCUACUGGGCCUUCUGCGGGCCUGAAUCCUGGCCCAUCGAUGGGUUUCUAGUCGUAUUCAGGCCGUGGUGGCCCAGUAGGUGGCAUAAUUUUUAUUUUUUGCCUUUUUUUUCUUUUUUGCUUUAUUUAUUUUGUUUUGUUUCUACUUACAACAAAAAACUUAUUUAUUUUAUUUUAUUUUGUUUCUAAUUACUUAUUUAUUUUACUUUAUGAUAAUUCUUUUUGCUAUGAAAGUUUCUAACAAAAAAGUUCUUUAUGAAAAUUCUUUUUGCUUUCCAUGAUUUUGAACAGAAAAUACUUCGAUAAUUUUAGUUGCAUCAAUUUUAUAUAAUUUUAGUUUCAAUAAUACUAGAGGUUGCUUAUAAUGUUUUGAACAGAAAAUACUUUGAUAAUUUUAGUUUCAUAAAUUUUAUUUAUGUUAUUAAAGUUUAUUUUAUUUUGUUUGUACUUAUAUAUUUUAUUAAAGUUUAUAUUAUUUUGUUUCUAUUUACUUAUUUAUUUUAUUUAUUAUUUUUCAUGCACCAUUUUUCAUGCAUUUACUGGUUAUUUUGAGCUAUAAGACCCUAAAAUUGAAAAGCAUUUCAAAUGAACUCUGAAAAGGUUGAAAGUUGGCAUGGUAUCAUCAUUUCAUCCACAUAGCAUGUGCAAGAAAGUUGAGAGGGUUACGGCAAAAAUUGGAUGCACUUCCUGUACAAAACGGACAAUCUCUUUCGAAGUAUCAGGAUUUCAUACGGAAACUCGUCUGUUACAAAGGGAUUUCAUUUUUUAAAACUUAUUUGAACUCCUGACUUUUUGUGUGUUCAAAAUGCACCAUUCAAAGCCACAUCAUCAAUUUUCAACCCUUUCUGACUUCAUUUCUUUUUUUCAUGCAUUUAUUGAUUAUUUUGAGCUAUAAGACCCUGAAAUUGAAAAGCAUUUCAAAUGAACUCUAAAAUGGUUGAAAGUUGGCAUGGUAUCAUCAUUUCAUCCACAUAGCAUGUGCAAGAAAGUUGAGAGGGUUACGGCAAAAACUGGAUGCACUUCGUGUACAAAACGGACAAUGGUAUCAUACUCGUCUGUUACAAAGUUGGCAUGGUAUCAUCAUAAUGGUUGCGGGAGAAAGUCUUCACUUUUUCUUCGCUUGUGUCAUUUGCUUAUUGCGCCGUAACCAAGGAUAAUCUUCAUGGUUUAUCAGGAUGCUUGGUUCAGCCUUGACUUUGAAGGGAGGAAUUUCAUGAAACUUUUCAUAUUCUUCAGAUAUGUCUGUCUUGCCCUCCACUCCCACGAUGUCCCUUUUUCCUGAAAGAACUAUGUGGCGCUUUGGCUCAUCGUAUGAUGUAUUCGCUUCCUUAUCUUUUCUUUUUCUUGGUUUGGUAGACAUGUCCUUCACAUAGAUAACUUGUGCCACAUCAUUGGCUAGGACGAACGGUUCGUCAGUGUACCCAAGAUUUUUCAGAUCCACUGUUGUCAUUCCGUACUGUGGGUCUACCUGUACCCCGCCUCCUGACAGAUUGACCCAUUUGCACUUAAACAAAGGGACCUUAAAAUCAUGUCCGUAGUCAAGUUCCCAUAUGUCCACUAUGUAACCAUAAUAUGUGUCCUUUCCACUCUCGGUUGCUGCAUCAAAGCGGGCACCGCUGUUUUGGUUGGUGCUCUUUUGAUCUUGGGCGAUCGUGUAAAAUGUAUUCCCAUUUAUCUCGUAUCCUUUGUAAGUCAAUACAGUCAAAGAUGGUCCCCUGGACAACGAGUACAGCUCAUCACAAACAGUGUUGUCACCUCUGAGACGUGUUUCCAACCAACUGCUGAAAGUCCUGAUGUGUUCACAUGUAAUCCAGUCGUCGCACUGCCCCGGGUGUUUGGAGCGCAGACUGUUCUUGUGUUCAUCGACAUACGGGGUCACCAAGGUAGAGUUUUGUAGAACUGUGUAGUGUGCUUGAGACCAAGAAUGCCCGUCCCUGCAUAUUAUUGAGUCCGCUCCUAGCGUGUCUUUUCCAGUCAGUCUCCCCUCAUACCGCGAUUUAGGGAGACCUAUCUUCUUAAGGCCAGGAAUGAAGUCAACACAAAACCCAAUGACAUCCUCUGUUUGAUGGCCCAUGGAGAUGCUUCCUUCUGGCCUAGCGCGGUUACGGACAUAUUUCUUUAGGACUCCCAUGAACCUCUCAAAGGGGAACAUAUUGUGUAGAAAUACGGGCCUCAGAAUGUCAAUCUCGUCGACUAGUUGAACUAGGACGUGCGCCAUGAUAUUGAGGAAGGAUGGUGGGAACACCAGCUCAAAACUGACAAGACAUUGCGCCACAUCACUCCUUAGCCUUGGUAUGAUUUCUGGCUCGAUUACCUUCUGAGAGAUUGCAUUGAGGAAUGCACAUAGCUUCACAAUGGCUAAUCAGACGUUUUCUGGUAGAAGCCCCCUCAAUGCAACCGGAAGCAGUUGCGUCAUAAUCAUGUGGCAGUCAUGAGACUUUAGGUUCUGGAACUUUUUCUCUGGCAUAUUUAUUAUUCCCUUUAUAUUCGACGAGAAGCCAGUCGGGACCUUCAUACUGAGCGGGAAUUCAAAGAAGAUUUCUUUCUCUUCUUUCGUAAGAGCGUAGCUGGCAGGACCUUCAUACUGCUUCGGAGGCAUGCCGUGUUUUUCGUGCAAACGUUGCAGGUCCUCCCGUGCCUCAGGUGUAUCUUUUGUCUUCCCAUACACGCCCAAGAAGCCUAGCAGGUUCACGCAAAGGUUCUUCGUCAUGUGGAUCACGUCGAUUGAAGAGCGAACCUCUAGGUCUUUCCAGUAGGGUAGGUCCCAAAAUAUAGAUUUCUUCUUCCACAUGGGUGCGUGUCCCUCAGCGUCAUUCGGAACAGCUAGUCCGCCGGGACCCUUUCCAAAGAUUACGUGUAAAUCAUUGACCAUAGCAAGUACGUGAUCACCGGUACGCAUGGCGGGCUUCUUCCGGUGAUCUGCCUCGCCUUUGAAAUGCUUGCCUUUCUUUCGACAUUGAUGGUUGGUCGGAAGAAAUCGACGAUGGCCCAGGUACACAUUCUUCCUGCAUUUGUCCAGGUAUAUAGUUUCAGUGUCAUCUAAACAGUGCGUGCAUGUGUGGUAUCCCUUGUUUGUCUGUCCUGAAAGGUUACUGAGAGCGGGCCAAUCGUUGAUGGUUACAAACAGCAAUGCGUGCAGGUUAAAUUCCUCCUGUUUGUGCUCAUCCCAUGUACGUACACCAUUUCCAUUCCACAGCUGUAAAAGUUCUUCAACUAAUGGCCUUAGCUACACAUCAAUGUCGUUGCCGGGUUGCUUACGACCUUGGAUGAGAACUAGCAUCAUAAUGAACUUUCGCUUCAUGCACAUCCAAGGAGGAAGGUUAUACAUACAUAGAGUCACGGGCCAGGUGCUGUGAUUGCUGCUCUGCUCCCCGAAAGGAUUAAUGCCAUCCGCGCUUAAACCAAACCAUACGUUCCUUGGGUCAGCUGCAAACUCAGUCCAGUACUUUCUCUCGAUUUUUCUCCACUGCGACCCGUCAGCGGGUGCUCUCAACUUCCCGUCUUUCUUACGGUCCUCACUGUGCCAUCGCAUCAACUUGGCAUACUCUUCGUUUCUGAACAGACGUUUCAACCGUGGUAUUAUAGGAGCAUACCACAUCACCUUCGCAGGAACCCUCUUCCUGGGGGGCUCGCUGUCAACAUCACCAGGGUCAUCUCGUCUGAUCUUAUACCGCAAUGCACCGCAUACCGGGCAUGCGUUCAGAUCCUUGUACGCACCGCGGUAGAGGAUGCAGUCAUUAGGGCAUGCAUGUAUCUUCUGCACCUCCAAUCCUAGAGGGCAUACGGCCUUCUUUGCUGCGUAUGUACUGUCAGGCAAUUCGUUAUCCUUUGGAAGAUUAUUCUUCAAUAUUUUCAAUAGCUUCUCAAAUCCUUUGUCAGGCACAGCAUUCUCUGCCUUCCACUGCAGCAAUUCCAGUACGGUACCGAGCUUUGUGUUGCCAUCUUCGCAAUUGGGGUACAACCCUUUUUUGUGAUCCUCUAACAUGCGAUCGAACUUCAGCUUCUCCUUUUGACUUCCGCAUUGCGUCCUUGCAUCGACAAUGACCCGGCGGAGAUCAUCAUCAUCGGGCACUGGUUCUUCUUGAUCUUCAGCAGCUUCCCCCGUUGCAGCAUCAUUGGGCACAUCAUCUGGUUCCUCUUGAUCUUCAGCAGCUUCCCCCGUUGCAACAUCACCGUAUUCAGGGGGCACAUAGUUGUCAUCGUCCUCUUCUUCUUCGCCGUCUUCCAUCAUAACCCCUAUUUCUCCGUGCCUCGUCCAAACAUUAUUGUGUGGCAUGAAACCCUUGUAAAGCAGGUGGGUGUGAAGGAUUUUCCGGUCAGAGUAAGACUUCGUAUUCACACAUUUAGGGCAUGGACAACACAUAAAACCAUUCUGCUUGUUUGCCUCAGCCACUUCGAGAAAAUCAUGCACGCCCUUAAUGUACUCGGAGGUGUGUCUGUCACCGUACAUCCAUUGCCGGUUCAUCUGCGUGCAUUAUAUAUAAUUAAGUGUGUCAAAAACCAUUACAGAACAUCAUGAAUAGAUAAUUAAGUGACCAAAUUAAUAGAAGUUCACCAUCACAUUAAAACCAAAGUACAUACAUAGUUCUCAUCUAACAACAUAUAGCUCUCCAGAGCAUCUAAUUCAUUAAACCAUACAUUGAAACUAUGUAAAACAUUUCAAUACGAAGACAAAUGCGAUCAUAAUCGCAACAAAGGUAACAAUUGAUCCAACGGCAUAAUGAUACCAAGCCUCGGUAUGAAUGGCAUAUUUUCUAAUCUUUCUAAUCUUCAAGCGCAUUGCAUCCAUCUUGAUCUUGUGAUCAUCGACGACAUCCGCAACAUGCAACUCCAAUAUCAUCUUCUCCUCCUCAAUUUUUUUAUUUUUUCCUUCAAGAAAUUGCUUUCUUCUUCAACUAAAUUUAACCUCUCGACAAUAGGGUCGGUUGGAAUUUCCGGUUCACAUACCUCCUAGAUAAAUAAAAUCUAUGUCACGUUGGUCGGCAUAAUUUUCAUAAACAAUAAAUGAACCAAUAGUUAUAAAGAUAAUAUAUACCACAUCCGAAUCAUAGACAGGACGAGGGCCGACGGGGGCGGAUACCAAAACCAUCCCACUAUAUAAUAACAAGCAAUAAAAUAGUAAGAAAAUUAGACAAGUAUCUAUCUAAAGUAAGAAUUUUUUUCUUUCAGAAAGAAGAUAAGAACAAGAGGCUCACCACGGUGGUGCCGGCGACGAGAUCGGCGCGGGCGAUCGACGGCGGUGAAGACGGGAAUGGGACGUGACGGGCCGCUAAACCUAGACAAAUCUCGAGGAAAAUGGAGCUUUGAGGUCGAGCUUCGAGAGGAGAAAGCUUAACUAGUGUGGCUCGGGCAUCUCAUCGAACACCUCAUGUGCAUAGGAGGUGAGCUAGAGCACCACAAAGCCCUCCCCUCGCCGGCCAGAGAAAAACAGAGCACUGGAGUGCUCUGCUCGCGGGCGAGGUGCAUAUAUAGGCACCUCAUUGGUCCCGGUUCGUGGCAUGAACCGGGACUAAAGGGCAUCCUGUGGUCCCGGUUCAAGCCACCAACCGGGACCAAUGGUGGUGGGCCAGGAGCGAGGCCCAUUGGUCCUGGUUCGUCCCACCAACCAGGACCAAAGGGGCCAGACGAACCGGGACCAAUGCCCCCACGAGGCCCGGCAGGCCCCUGGCCUCACGAACCGGGACCAAUGCCCCCAUUGGUCCCGGUUCUGGACUGAACCGUGACUAAUGGGCUGACCCGGCCUGAACCAAAGCCCUCUUUUCUACUAGUGCGUGUAUAUCUUACUUUGCUAUGUGCAUGUGUGAAGUCUCUAGGAACAGUUUGUCCGAUUCAAAUCAUUUUCAGGGUGGAUGCUAGUUGAUGCUAAAAAAUGUGCAAUGCAUUUACUGUUACAUGUUUUGUGAGCUAAUUACCAUCUUUGUCACUCUUAUUUCUGCUAUAAGUCUUACCUAAAAUGUGUCAUUGAACUGAUUUUAUUUAGCACAUAGGUUCAACAUACCAGAACUAGUGAAGAAUCUGUAUUAGUUUAUGUAUUAAAGUUUUGCGUCACAUCUUAUAGUACUCCCUCCUAAACUAAUAUAAGAGCAUUUAGAUCACUAAAAUAGUAGUGAUCUAAACGCUGUAUUAUUAGUUUAUAGAGGGAGUAAGUCUUAAAAUGUGCUUGUUUAUGUUUCUAUUACUACCUGACCCUUUUUCAGAUAUAGCGAUGUGUACUUCAUAUAAAUGUCUUGCUUUGUUUGUGGUGCUAGUAAAAUCUAGAAAAUGAAUUACAGUACUACUAAAUUAUCUAAACCAGUAGCCCCGUUAAGCUGACAUCUUAUCUUAUGAAUGGAUUAAGGCAUGCCAAAGAAACAAACAAGCAAACAUAGAAAACUAUGCAGGUUGAAUGAAAUCAUAUUAUACUAUGCAUCUUUUUUAUGCUGUGUGAUCGAGAAGGAAGAGGAAGGAACACCAAAGACAAAUAGGCAUAGGAGGCAUCAUGAAAACUCAAAACAAAGCCUCUUUCAGUCUUAGAUGAGGAACUGAAUUCUCUAGCCUUCCAUCAUGUUCCCAUGCCCAUCGCUCUUCGGCCCUCUUUCUUACUCUCCCUGACGCACAGUGGACAACUCGUAUGACCUGAAUAUAUGCACAUAUAUGUUCUAUUUGUCGACUUCAAUGAUUUCACAAACGAAAAGGAAGAGGAAGGGGCGCAUAAGGAUAGGAAUGAGAGGCAUCAGGAAAUAUCAAACUAAAUUUCCAUCUCAACACAGGAAGUGGACCAAUAGUUAGACUUUUCCUCUAUGUUCUCAUUCCCGCUGCUCUUAGUCCUUCUCCUUCUUCCUCUUCCUAGCUUGCUUUUGUGAUCUCAUAACAAAUAUGUGCACAUAUAUAUUUUUUUACACUAAAGCAACCAAGCAACCAAAAAGAAAAGGAAGGAGUGCUUGAGAACAAUAGGAAUAGGAGACAUCUGGAAAUACCAAACUAAAUUCUCACCUCCAACAUUAGAGGUGAAAAAAAGCAAGUUAGGCUUUCCUUCAUGUUCCCAUUCCCACUGCUCUCAUGCUAUCUUUUCUUCCUCUUCUUGACUAGCCUUCUAGAUCUCAGAUUGUCAAAGUAUGUACACACAUAUUUACCGUCUCAGACAGAAAGGGAGGUGGGGAGGAAGGAGUGCUCAAGAACCAUAGGAAUUGGAGACAUUAGGAAAGCAAAAAACUAAUUAUUUGCACCUCCAACAUGAGGGGUGAAAACAAAAAAGUUACACUUCCCUCCAUGUUCCCAUUCCUAGUGCUCUUAUGUUAUCUCUUUCUUUCUCUUCCCUAUUUACUCUCAGAGCCUACAAACUCCGAAGAAAAACAGUAUCAAACAACAAGCUUGAAUUGCUGGAUGAAGUGUUUCAACAUUGAUGUAUAAAUAGAUGUGUUGUGCAUUAUGUCGAGAAUCACAGAGGGAUCAUGUAAUGAAGACACUCAGUGCAUCGAGUAUCACUAAAGUCAAGGAUAAUGGGGCACAUUGUCCUGUACUAUACGUGUAAAGCACUUCAGGGCUACAGAAGAUUCCCAGAAAGAAAAGGAUAGUUACUGAAACUUAAUCCUUGUUCAUUACCAAGGGAUAGUAUCAGAACAUAACAAUAGGUGCUAUAUAAUUUGUUCACAGUAUUUCAUUAGUAAACAUUAAGUAUUCUAUCGAGUAAAGACAAAUUGUUAGUAUUCUAGAGAGAACAGACAAAUAUUUGUUCUUGUCUAAUGUCCUUUUAGGGAACUGGUUUCAGAGGCAUGCAUGAUGCAUCCCAAAUAGAAACUCCAUCUGCACUACAUAUAGAAGGUAGCAAGUUAGCAGGGCUGGUACAUGAGGAAGCAAAAUAGAAAAUGAUGAAAAACUUGUCCAUAUAAAUAGCUUAGAUGAUCGUUCCUACUUAGAGUAAUCAACAACAUAUGUAGCUUUUGCUAUUAGGAAUGUAAUAAGUUUUGAGAUGACAUUAGCGCAAAGGCGUAAGUUGACCCAACACCCUCAAAUCAGAAAAUGGUGAUGCAUACUGAUCAAGUUAACUCCAGUUAUUCAUGAUUAGUUAACCGGGAUAUUGAAAAAAUGCAGUAGUGGGGAGUUCCUUGAAUUUGAAGUAGUGCCCUCCUACUCGUAAAUCUCCCAAUUUCACCAAGCACAUUUGCCUUUAAAUUAAUAUUCUGAAAAUGCAGGAACUACGUGUUGUUCAUCAAAUUCAACUGCACCUACUAUAAGCUACUACAGAGAGUAAGUCACAACAAUAAAAUGUGCAAUCCUCCUUAGUGCAAUUUACUUGAUAUGCACAGCUAGAGACCUUGGGGGUGAUAAAAUUUAUCCUAGGUUACCAUAAGAGCUAAGAGCAUCUCCAGCCAUUCGGCCCCCCAGGGCGCCGAAAAAGAGCCCCCUGGGGGCGAGCCGGCGCUAGAUUGGCGCGUGGGGGCGACCUAGCUCCCAGUCGUCGGCCCACCGGUCACCCCGGGUUCGGCGAUGUUGUACAAAAUAUAUGCAAACUGGGCAACUUUUGCACGAACUCUGCGAAACUUCAUUGAAAUUUAUACAUAAAACAUGCAAACUACGCCUAAACUACGCCAAACUAUGCCUAGCCGCCACCACCGCCGCCGCCGCCGUCGUCUACAUGCCGAGAAGCCUGUAGAAGCGGGUGUAGUCGCUGCCGUCGCCGUCAUCGUCAUCGUCGUCGUCAUCGUCGCGUGGCUGGCUUGGGCCGGCGACGUCCCUGCUGCAGCCCUGGCCAAGGUCGCCGAGGCGCGGUUGCGUGCUGGACGGCCCGGCCUCGUCCUCCUCGUCGCUGUCGAGGACGAUGAAGCCGCCCUCCUCGCGCCCGCGGCGCCGGGCCUGGAGCUCCGCGUACGCCCGGCGCUGGCGGCGGACCUGCUCCCGGACGUAGUCCUCCUUCGCCCACUUGAGGGUGGACUCGUCGUCGGGGGCUGCCAUCUCAACGUGCUCCAGCUUCACCGGGAGCAGCCCCGGCUCGGGCUUCGGCCGGACCAGGCGGGGAGGGCCGGGCACCCUCGUUGAUGACGAGGGCACCGCUGCGCGUGCGGCGCCCGACCGGCGUCUCCUCCGGCUCGGGCUUGACGGGGCGGAGCGUGGCCGGUGAGCUGGAACCUGACGACGAGGACGACCCCGGCUCCAUCCGCCGCGGCGUCCAAGAGCUACCACGGCGGCGAGAGAAGGACGGCCGCUGCAUGUACUCGAGGCGCGGCACGUUGCCGGUCUCGAUGUGGUCGAGGACGGCCUCGAGGGUGCGGCCUGGCAUGCCCCACCACUCGCGUCGCCCGUCGGCGUUGAAUUGGCCGAGGGGGAUGACGCCGUUGGUGGCGGCAAUCUGCUCCUCGCGGCGGCGCUGGAAGUACAUGGUCCAGAGGUUGUGGCUGUCGGUGGCGUAGCGCGGCUCGUCCCUCUGCUCCUGCGUCAGGGACGAGCGGAUGCGGGCGAUCUCAGCCCGCCGCGCCGCCCCUUCGGGCACCGGUGGCACUGGCGCGCUGUCGGCACUCAGCCUCCACGUCGCCGGCACCCGCAUGUCCGGGAGCGCCGGGUACUCGGCCUCGUAGAGUAGGCGCGCCUCCUGCUCUUGGAGGUGGCGGCGGCCGAAGCCGUUCGCCGCCGCACCGUCGCCUAGGUACCUCUCGACCAUCUUUCUCAUCAGUGGGAGGAGGGGAGUGUUGCUACCUACGCCGGAGAGGGGGGGAAUGAGGGUUGUGGCGUCCACCGGCGGGGAGGGCGCCUUUUAUAGCCAUAGCGGGGCGGCGACGGGCUGCAUGUCGGGCGACACGUGGCUGGACGCGCGUCGUGGCGCGUUCACUGCGCCGCCCGUGAGGCAUCAAUGGAGGCUGACCAGCGCGGCAGCCUUCGCAUUGAUUCCUGCGGGAACCGAGGCGAUGAGGGCGGCGAAGCGGCGUCUCGCUGACUCGGCGGGCCCAUCCGCUUUCGCGCCAAAACCGCUCGCCCCGGCGCCCCCCAGCGCGCCAGAUUCGGCCUGGGUCCGCCGGCGCCAGUUUCGGCUCAAACCGGCGAAAAUCGGGCUCCUCGGGAAAAAACGUCUGGGCCGAUUUUUGAGCGCGGGCGCGGAAAAAACGCCUGGGGAGGGCAUGUUGGGGGCGCGGCUAGAGAUGCUCUAAUAAGUGUCCAAUAUGUGCAUUCCUGUCAGAAAAGGGGACCAGGUAAUGAUUGGCUUCACAUCAUCAAGGAAACACAACAGAGCUAAAUGUUAAUAACUUAAUAUGCCCGCCGCACUAGAGCACAAAGUAAUAUUUUAAGCACGUGUAUGAAUCAACAUAAGUACUUAGAACAUGCACAUACUUACUCUAGCAAAAAGAAAUGCAUGUUCUAUAAGAAACUGAUAAGCAUAAAGUAGAAACUAGGCCAGUAGGGGGAGAAGCCCCUACUGAUUUUUAAUUAAGAGGAGAAUGUGAGACAACAGCGUCCGAGACAAUGCUCGAACCUGCGGGGGCCAGCUCACACAGCCGCUCGCUGGCCACUGAUAAGCGUAAAGUACAUGCCUAAUAUUUUUUUAAGUUCUACAGGGAACAGUAAACAAGAACAAGGACAGUUGGUUACUAUUUCUCCCUUAAACAGAAUGAAACUAUCUGAAGAGACCAUCAUAUAGACCACUGGUUGCCUAAAGGAUCCAUUAGACACCGUAAUUCUGAAAGCAGCGAAAUGUCAUCAGGUUGAGAGAGUUGAAGGACGAAAAAUAAACUCCCCCCUCCAGUUAAUGCUAUAAUAUUCAAAUGAUCUCUCUCGUUACCAUUAUCCUGUGAGCUAGCAAUGCAAGUGGGUAUCCAGUAGACACCCUGCAUUGUUGCCGGUACACAAAUCAGUGACUGGUUAAAAGAGUUGGUUGCAGAGCAGCAAGAAUGGAGAUCAGAGAGAUACUGCUUUCGUUUGCCCGCAUCAGCUCUUUGUAGUUUUGUUUGCGGGCAUCGGCUCUCUAUAGUUGGCUGCAGAAGAGCAGCUCCCGCUGCUAGAGACCCGUAAUACCAGCCCAAGUCAUGGAAUGUGUAAGAGGAGAGGCCAGAACAUCCAUCUUGAAAACUUCCUUGCCUGCAAGCCGGUGCCAUAAUGAGUCUGAGAGCCUCCGAAAUCCAAACACUCGGAUCCGUUGGUACUUAAUGCAAGAGUUUCAAUCAAGACUUCACGGACAGUAAAACGCUAGCACUUAACACCCAGGUGCUUCCUAUGGAAUGAUGUCAAUGGUUUCAAGCACAGAAUAGUGUCAAAGGUUGGCCUCCUACCUCUAGAUACUUGCAGUUUUCUAGAUCCGAGUAAAUCAUAUAAGCGCUCGCUUUGAUAACCCCUCUUUUAAUUGAUGCAUAGCCAUUGUUUUCUGUCCUUGGAAACCCAAAUCAGCAAGUGUAGGCCAUAGGAUCGGCUACUAAAGACAAUGCAAACACCCCAAAACUCUCUAAUCAUGAGCAAGAAACAGCAAGAGCUCCCCAGCAUAGCAAGAAGUUGUGAAUGAAUGUCAGAAUCGGUGCUCAUCCUAUGCAAGCUGGCAACCGGUAGGAUAUCGUAAGAAAUUUAUGUCGCUCACCGAUAGAUUGUUUCAUAUACAUGCCAACAACAACUAACAGCUAUCAUCCAUGGUCGAUGAUUCUAAUUAGCAUGUCCACAAGCCAACAUAGCAGAAACGUGAACAGAAAGGGAUUCAUCCAUGCACUUCGAACUGAAAUCCUUCCUGUUAUGCCUUGUCUGAAUACCCCGAGCCAAUGGACGUUUCCCAAAGGUGGUAGCCAGCCACAAUAGCCUUGAGCUGGCUCUUCCCUUGAGUUAACUCGGACAACGGCCACGGUCUUGGCCACGACAACCAACGCUUGGAUCUGCCUUCGUCGUGACCUGAGGUUGCAGAGGUGGAGGUCACAGCUGCACUUUGUCGAACAACAUGUGCGCCGCGGCGAGGUCCUCGAUGUCGGCACGCACCUGAACUACCGCAAACGGCACUGUGGGGUUGGAGUAGACACCAACAGACGAUGCUCGCAGCACCCUGCUAGCAUCGUUCCCCGAGCAUUCGGUCGAGCACAUGGUGGGCGCCGGCGUGUCAAGCUGAAAGGACGUCGAAUGGUUGCAGCAGAGGAGGGGUGAGCCGUCGGGGAUGGCUCUGAUGGUGACAUUACGGACGUAACCCUGCUUCCGGUGCCGUGGUCAGGAUCGGACGUUGAGCAUGUGGUGGGCGUCCGGGCGGGUAAGGUUGAUGGCGUCGGCGUCGUCCGCCACGGCGCCACCGCGGCAGAGAGUUUGGUGGAGGCGUCGGUGGUGGUCAUGAACGAGAUAGGUGCUGCAGCAGGGAGGGGGAAACGGGGUCGCCGCCCGGCGUGCUCAGUUCAGUAAACUAGGCAACUAGCUCGCACCACAUCAGUUUGCCUCGCGAUAGUUUGACAAAAGUUCAGUCAGCGCUAACAGAAGAAACUUCUAUUUUUUUUCUAGAAAAAAAAGGCCAUCAUGGCUAGGACGGCCAGUGGCUGCAGAAGCGGAGGGGUCAGCCAUCGGUACUUCUUCCAGCCACGGAGUACUUCACAGUUGGUUCGGCCAUCAUCCCUCGGAUCAAAUCACCCAACUUGCGAUGCAACAAGUAUUGAGGUCUGAGUGGGGCAAUUAAGACACGCGUCUAGAGAAUAUGUAAAAAGAAAACACAAUUUUAUAAUUAAGUGUACAAAUUGCAUUGGAGCUUAGAAUUUCCAAAGCACAGAUCCAAUUCGGCUCUUGAGAGCAUAUGCCAAAUUAUAUGUGUUUAUUGUCACACCAAAAUGCUACAUGCAAAUUUUUUGUGGAAAAUCUCAAGCAUUUUGAUCUAUAUGAAAAAAAAAUCAAAUGCCAAAUGUUACCUCCAAAUGAUACACUUAAUUUUGUGUUUUUCAUCGACGAAGCACUGCUAUGCCGUUUCGAAUGAAAAUCGUUUUGAAUUUACUGUUCAUCGGGACCAUAUCCUCAGAGCCAAAACGGCCCUCCCCAAAAACAUCGAUAAAUCAUUUCACAGUCGUGAUUGCUUCUUGCUUGUAUGUGUUAUUUAUCCAUUACUUUCCUAUGCCCAUGUGUAAACUUUGUAGGAAUAGUUUGUGUGAUUCAUAUAAUUUUAGAGGGUGGAUGCUAAUGCUAAAAGUAAUCUGCAAUACAUAUAAUGCUACAUGUUAUGUUCGCUAAAUACCAUCUUUCUCACUCUAUUUUCUGCUCCUAUUCUUAGCUUCCGUGGUCAGGGAUGGUGUGUGAUUGAUCCGAUUCGUGUUCAGAUCGAGUUCAACUUAAGGGAACUAGUGAAGAAUAUGUACAAUUGUUUAUGUCAAAGUUGUGUGUCCAAUCUUGCUAAAUUUAAAAAUGUGUUAGUGUAUGUUUAUAUAUAAAUUUCAGCACGCUAUAUAAAUUUUUCCUUACCAAAUUCCACCUACCAAAGGCGCUUCACUCCCCGGCAACGGUGCCAGAAAAGAGUCUUGAUGACCCACAAGUAUAGGGGAUCUAUCGUAGUCCUUUCGAUAAGUAAGAGUGUCGAACCCAACGAGGAGAAGAAGAAAAUGAUAAGCGGUUUUCAGCAAGGUAUUCUCUGCAAGCACUGAAAUUAUAGGUAACAGAUAGUUUUGUGAUAAGAUAAUUUAUAACGAGCAACAAGUAACACAAGUAAAUAAAGUGCAGCAAGGUGGCCCAAAUCUUUUUGUAGCAAAGGACAAGCUUGGACAAACUCUUAUGUAGAGAAAAGCGCUCCCGAGGACACAUGGGAAUUAUCAUCAAGCUAGUUUUCAUCAUGUUCAUAUGAUUCGCGUUCGGUACUUUGAUAAUUUGAUAUGUGGGUGGACCGGUGCUUGGGUGCUGUCCUUACUUGGACAAGCAUCCCACUUAUGAUUAACUCCUAUUGCAAGCAUCCGAAACUACAAAAGAAGUAUUAAGGUAAACCUAACCAUAGCAUGAAACAUAUGGAUCCAAAUCAGCCCCUUACUAAGCAACGCAUAAACUAGGGUUUAAGCUUCUGUCACUCUAGCAAUCCAUCAUCUACUUAUUACUUCCCAAUGCCUUCCUCUAGGCCCAAAUAAUGGUGAAGUGUCAUGUAGUCGACGUUCACAUAACACCACUAGAGGACAGACAACAUACAUCUCAUCAAAAUAUCGAACGAAUACCAAAUUCACAUGACUACUAAUAGCAAGACUUCUCCAAUGUCCUCAGGAACAAACGUAACUACUCACAAAGCAUAUUCAUGUUCAUAAUCAGAGGAGUAUUAAUAUGCAUAAAGGAUCUGAACAUAUGAUCUUCCACCAAAUAAACCAACUAGCAUCAACUACAAGGAGUAAUCAACACUACUAGCAACCUACAGGUACCAAUCUCAGACUUAGAGACAAGACUUGGAUACAAGCGAUGAACUAGGGUUUGAGAGGAGAUGGUGUUGGUGAAGAUGUUGAUGGAGAUUGGCCCCCUCCCGAUGAGAGGAGCGUUGGUGAUGAUGAUGGCGAUGAUUUCCCCCUCCCGGAGGGAAGUGUCCCCGGCAGAACAGCUUCGCCAGAGCCCUAGAUUGGUUCCGCCAAGGUUCCGCCUCGUGGCGGCGGGGUCUCGUCCCGAAAGCUUGCUUAUGGCUUUUCUUCGGACGAAAGACUUCAUAUAGCAGAAGAUGGGCACCGGAGGGCCACCAGGGGGCCCACGAGGCAGGGGCGCGCCCCCCACCCUCGUGCUCAGGGUGUGGGUCCUCACUGGUAUUUUCUUCGCUCAGUAUUUUUUAUUAUUUUCAAAAAUAACUUCCGUGGAGUUUCAGGACUUUUGGAGUUGUGCAGAAUAGGUCUCUAAUAUUUGCUCCUUUUCCAGCCCAGAAUUCCAGCUGCCGGCAUUCUCCCUCUUUAUGUAAACCUUGUAAAAUAAGAAAGAAUAGGCAUAAGUAUUGUGACAUAAUGUGUAAUAACAGACCAUAAUGCAAUAAAUAUCAAUAUAAAAGCAUGAUGCAAAAUGGACGUAUCAACAACCUCAAGUCCACAGUAUCAAUUCUAUUGGAAAAAUUUCAACUAUUACUAUUGGAGGUUUUGAAUUUCCUCUUCCUACUGUCAAGAAGAGAUAUGAUAUUCUUAUUGUUGGGGAUGUGCAUAUCCCCGUUGCGGUAACCUAGUGUUAUUCGAAAUUUCUCCGGUGCCAUGUUAUUCGAAAAGAGUUUGUUAACAAGACUUGAUCAACCUUGUUAGUGGAUUCCUUUUGAUGAGCAUGAGAUGGAUGAAGUUAGAAAGUACAACCUUCUAUACCCUCCUUUUACUUUCUGUUAUUUAGAUUAAAUAAAGCAAACAUAGUAUUUUUCUCUCAGUUUUCUGAAUUAUCCUUGCAACAAAAAAAUACCCCGAAAAUAAAAGUUCUCCAAAUGCCCUGAAUAUGAAAUAUGAUUUUUUCUAGAAUAUUUGAGAAUAUCUGGCACUGAGAACACAUCAGGGGGAGCAAGCACCUGGCCACGAGGGUCCAGGGCGCGCCCGCUGCCUCGUGGGCCCCUGGUGGCCCCCUCCACUUAUUCCAGCAACCACACACUCCUUCUUCCUCCCAAAAAAAUCACCAACCAGCUCAAGCACGAGUUCUAGCUCAUCUUGCUGCCAUUUUCGAUCUCCUUGCUCAAAGCUCCACUCACAAAACUGCUUUGGGGAUUGUUCUUCGGUAUGUGACUCCUCCAAUGGUCCAAUUAGUUUUUGUUCUAGUGCUUUAUUCUUUGCAAAUUUUUGCUGCCUAGGUGAACCUGUUCUUGAGCUUGCAUGUCAAAUUUAUAUGGUCCCAAGUAGUUCUAAUGCAUGAUAUAGUCUCUAGGCACUUGUGGGGGUAGUUGCUAUCAAUUUUGUUGAGUUUGGUUCAGUUUUAUUUUGAGUUACUAAAAUUUUCAGAAAAUUUUCAGAGGAAGAAAUAUGUUUAGGAAAAUGUUCCAAGGUGGUUCUUCAAGGAAGCAAGGACCCAGGCCCGCAAUGCAUGAGCCGGACCAUGAACUACCAAGAGAAGCUCAAGUGCGGCCUUGUGAAUGGCCGUCAGAAGAUUUCAUGGUCCGAGCAAUAAUUAAGGAGGAAUUUGACGCAUAUGUGCGUAAUGCUGAACUCGAGGGCUUCAUGCUAGAUAAGUGCCCUCAGUAUUAUCACCUAACUGAUUCCUUUGUGAGAAGGUUCAAAUUUACAUCUUCACGUAAUUCUCACACUGUCCUAUUUGAUCUCUAUAAUAAAUCUUAUACCAUGGACUUAGAAGAUUUUAAUACUGCUUGUAUACUUCCGCAAUGGGGUAGUGCUAGUGAACCUCGCAAAUCUGAGUUGAAGGAUUUUCUUGCCAGUAUCACUGUGGGGGAAUCUAGAGAGAUAACACAAGCUACCAUAGGGAGCAUUCAUUUUCCUGCUAUACAUUAUUUUGCUCUCUUUAUAGGUAGAUGCAUUAACGGCAAGGACGAGGCAUGUCACAUGUGUGUUCCUGACCUUAGUGUUCUCAAGAGUGCCGUAUUAGGAGAUAAACAAUAUAACUUGGGGGCCAUUGUUGCACGAAGGUUGCAUAAUAAUGGUUUAAGUGGAGACUUGUUUGGUGGGAUUUAUGCAACCCGUGUGGCUAAUUUUCUUGAGAUACCCAUACAUGAAAAUGAUAUGGAAUUGCCUCCCACUUAUCUAGAUUAUGAUGCUAUGGUUCGCCAUCAGUUUAUUGAGAGGAAUGAAUAGCCUCUCCAGUACCGACUAAUGUUUGACAUGCGCCGCACUUUCCAUGUUGCUCUCCCUGCUCCUACUUUCUUUGACUUUCAGGCAAAAGGGUGAUAUAUUAUAACCAGGGAGGAGGCGAACGAGUAUAAGACGAGGACGGAGGUAGCUCGCCUCCAAGCGGCAGCUCAUGAGGCAAUAGCUGCUGCAUCUCAGUAUGACCCCAGCUACAACUUUGAUCCAUGGGCAUAGACCAACUUAGGCCAAAAUCCUAAGCUUGCGGGAGUACGUAUUUCUCACCGACAUUACAUUCAUGUUCACACACUCAUUCUAGUUGUCGGUGCUCAUACUUUUUUAUUGUAAUAUCCAUGCUAUUUUAUAUUCUUUUCUAGCCUUCUUCUUGUGUAUUUGAAAAACCUUAAGAAAAACCAAAAAAACUUAGUUGUAUCUUUUAGCUAGUUUACUUUCCAUGCCUGUAGUAGUAAUAAUUAAAAAUAAAAUACAAAAAGAUUUCUCGUUCUUCUUUUGCUUGUUGGGAGCUUUCCUGUGUAAACAGUUUUAUUUCCUUCCUUUUCUUUGGGGGUCGAGAGGAGAAGACCAUGAUGAAAAUGUUGAAGUGGCUCUUAUAUGCAUUAUUGUUGAUUUAAUCGAGAGCCCAUAUUACCUUGUCUUCUCCUGCGUAUUAAAUGCAUGCAGAUUCCAGCUUAGUCCAAUUGCACAUGCACUAUUAUUAUUAUUCACACUGUUCGGUCGUGCAAGCGAAAGGCAAUAAUGACGAUAUAUGAUAGACUGAUUGAGAUGAGAGAAGCUGUUAUGAACUCGACCUCUCUUGUUUUUGUAAAUAUAACUAGUUCAUUGUUCCUGAUUCAGCCUAUUAUGAAUGAAACAUGUUUGCAAUGACAAUUAGAGAUUAUAGUUUCUCAUGCCAUGCUUAAUUAGCUAGGAGUUUAUAAUGGUUUACCUUGCAUGCCAACAUGCUAUUAAAAUGGUUGUGAUGUGGUAUGAUAGGGUGGUAUCCUCCUUUGAAUGAUUCGAGUGACUUGACUUGGCACAUGUUCACACAUGUAGUUGAAACAAAAUCAACAUAGCCUCCACGAUAUUUAUAUUCAUGGUGGAUUAUAUCCUACUCAUGCUUGCACUCAAUGUUUAUUAGUUUUAAUGCAUGUUUAUGACUAUUGUCGCUCUCUAGUUGGUCGCUUCCCAGUCUUUUUUCUAGCCUUCACUUGUACUAAGCGGGAAUACUGCUUGUGCAUCCACUUCCAUAAACCCCAAAGUUAUUCCAUAUGAGUCCACUAUACCUUCCUAUAUGUGGUAUCUACCUGCCAUUCCAAGUAAAUUUGUAUGUGCCAAACUCUAAACCUUCAAAUGAAAUUCUGUUCUGCAUGCUCGAAUAGCUCAUGUAUCAACUAGGGCUGUCUGUAUCUUCCAUGCUAGGCGGGUUAUUCUCAAGAGGAGUGGACACCGCUCCUCACGCACGAGAAAAUGGCUGGUCACCGGGAUGCCCAGUCCCAUGCUCUAAGCAAAUCAAAUCGAAAUAAUUGCAAACAAAACUCAGUGCCUAUAAAUCUAACGACACAAAAACUCUCGAACAACAUGCUUGAAUUGAUGGACAAACUGUUUCAACUUGGAGGUAUAAGUAAUGGGUGGUGCACCAUAUGCAGAAACUUCGAGAAGUAAGCAAUGAAGACACUCGGUGCAUGGGGCACCUAUGCACCAUUCUAUAGUCAAUGAUAAUGGGACCACAUAAUCACCAACCUUUUCUUAUGGAACUCUACUCUUAAGUAAGGGCACAUGGCUAAAUAUCUCUUUUGCUUACGUUUAUUACCCAUAUCCGAAACCGGUACAUAAUAUUUGUAUCAGCCAUUUUUCAUAACAAUAUAUGUAUCAACUUGAGCAUUUCUAGUGUCAAAAUAUAUAGCAAUAAGAAGUUAUGAGCUAAAAAUAACAUCCAAUUGGACAAAGUAAACCCUCUAAGUAAAAUUGGAAAAACUACAAAAUAGUGGGUGAAGAACCACUAAGGUGACAAUUAAUUGGAACACAAUGUACUGCACACAUGAGCUGCGUUAUGCAGAUGACAUGAUGUGAUUAAACCAUGAUUAUAGAGAUCUGAUAUCAGUAAACCAAAAUGUCUAUGUGCCAUUAUUUCAUCAAAAAAAAUUAUAGUCCUAUUGUCCGGUAAGAAAGUUAGUAUCCAAAUUCUGAAAGUUGUGCACAACCAUGCACAUGGAAGGAAAGAAAUAUAGGAAAUCAUAUCUCUAAGGAAUCCACCAUCCACGACCCCUAUGACAAAAACACCGGUUCAACAUGGAUCGCCUAUGCACCACGCUGAAUUUCAAAACAACGUUCAGACACGAAGGAAGAACAAGAUCCUCAAGAGAGUAUGGUACUUCUUCAACGUGUUGAAGUGCUUCACAGUUAAACCUUGUAGCUUGGCCGCUAUAUAUCUCUCCAAGGUAUAAAUCACUCAGGUUAAUAUAUAAUAAUACCAUUUUAUGUUAUGGUGUAAAAAUUACAUUGGAGUUUACAAUUUUCAAAGCUACAAAUAUAUCUUAUUGGAGGCAUGGCAGUUAAACCUUAUAGCUUGGCUGCUAUAUCUCCAUCAGUUUGCUAUCCCACUGUGAACUAUCUAGGAAUUGAUGAUGAAAAUAAUCUACAAUGCACAUACUGUUACGUGUUUUGUCUCACUAUGAUUUCUUUUGGUACUCUCAACUACAGUGUGUCAUUGAUGUGGUUUAGGCCCCAACAACUAUGAAGAGCCAUCAUAAUUGUUAAACUUGCGUGUCUCAUCUUGUUAAGUCUCAAAAUGUUCUUGUUUGUGUUUCUACGAAGGCCCUUUUUCAAAUAAUAGAGAUGUAUACUUCAUACAUUAAUACCUGAUAGGUAAAUUAAAUGUCUUGGCAUGAUAAGGACUCAUGUGCAGACUAAUUUGGAGCUAAACAUGUGUAUCGUUGUGGAUUAAGGGAUGCAAAACAAACAAACAAUCACAGAGCAUAGCAAUCCAAUUAUGUUCAAGAUGUUCCUAACAAAGUCACUUAUACCUGAUGGUUAUCUUACCCAUUUUCUACAGCAACAUUGGGAUAUCUGUGGUGGAGAGGUUGCGGUGAUUGUUCUCCAAAUUUUUUGGUGUGAAGAAAGCCCCGAGAGCAUCAAUGAGAGCAUUAUCGUCCUAAUUCGUAAAUUAAAUGUCUUGGCAUGAUAAGGACUCAUGUGCAAACUAAUUUGGAGCUAAACAUGUGUAUCGUUAUGGACUAAGGGAUGCAAAACGAACAAACAAUCACAGAGCAUAACAAUCCAAUUAUGUUCAAGAUGUUCCUAACUAAAUCACUUAGACCUGAUGGUUAUCUUACCCAUUUUCUGCAGCAACAUUGGGAUAUCUAUAGUGGAGAGGUUGCGGUGAUUGUUCUCCAAAUUUUGUGGUGUGAAGAAAGCCCCGAGAGCAUCUGAGACCAUUCUCGUCCUAAUUCCAAAGGUGAAAAAUCCCAAUUUACUUUCUUAGUUCAGGACAAUUCAGUCUUUGUAAUGUGUUGUAUAAAAUUGCCAUGAAGUUUAUUAUAACCGCCUGAAGCUUAUCGUUCCUGAGAUCAUUUCCGAGCAAUUUGCUUUUGUCACUGGCAGGCUUAUCAUUAAUAAUAUUCUCUCAUCCUAUGUAUGCCUCCACUUUAUGAAGAGGAACAAAGCAAAGAAAAAUUGAUUAUAUGAUCUCGAAUUGGAUAAUAUGAAGGCGCAUGAUUGUGUUGAGUGGGAAUAUCUAGAGGCUAUAUUGGCUAAGUUGGGGUUUGCACCAACUUGAAUAUGUCUACUUAUGAACUUGGUCUAUCCUGUUGAAUCCCGUGUUUCUUUAAUGGCAAUAAACCCGAAUCCUACCCUCAGUUGUAGUAAGCUGAGUGUGAUCCGCAGUUUCAAGCCUUCUUAAGGAAUCCGUCAAGCGGAUCCCAUUUCUCUGUACUUGUUCUUAAUAGAAGCAGAGUGCCUUUCGUACCUCCUAAAAGUAAAAGUGAGUCAGUGCAACUCAGUGGUAUUAAAGUUACUCAACUAGCACCAUUAGUAAGCCACUUGCUCUUUGCGGAUGACAACCUACUGUUUUUCAAGGCCGGUAGUGAUGGGGCUAUGGAGUUUUCUUCCUUGCUAGAGUGUUAUUGCCAAGCAACAUGACAGAGAAUAAAUUGAGCCAAAUCAUUUGUUUUCUUCGGCAAGGGAUGUCAAGAAGUUGUCAGAAAUGAGGUAAAGGGAGUCCUAGUGUUCCAAAUGAAUCUCCGUCAAAGAAAUAUUUGGGUAUGCCGUCGGAUGUUGGGAACUCCAAAAAUGGAGUUUUUAAAUACCUGGAAGAUAGGGUAUGGAACAAGGUCAGAGGAUGCAGGAAAAAAUUGCUCUCUCUGGGAGGAAAGGAAGUUCUUAUAAAAUCAAUAGCUCAAGUUGUUCCGGUUUAUUCCAUGUCCUACUUCAAGCUUCUUCGCGGUUUGGUUCAGCAUAUUAAUUCUUAUACAGAAGUUUUGGUGGGGCAGCAAGAGAGGUCAAAAGAAACCUUGUUGGGUCUCAUGGGAAGAAAUGACAAAACCGAAGUUUUUGGUCAGUUUGGGUUUAAGAGAUAUCAAACUUUUUAACCUUGCUCUAUUAGCUGGUCAGGCAUGGCUAUUCUGCAGGGCCCAAAUUCUCUUAUUGUUGGAUCCUCAAAGCUCAGUUUUCCCAUCCUCUACCAUCUUGGAAGCUCAACCGGGUAACUCUCCUUCCCAGAUAUGGGAUCUAUACUUGAUGGGAGGGUGUCUUAGUCCAAUGGCUGAUUCGUAGAAUUUGCGGUGGAGAAGCCAUGAAAGUUUGGAGUCACCAUUGGCUUCUGAGGGACUACAAUAUGAGACAGAUUAGCAACACCUCUCAUAACUUGCCUCAACUGGUGUGGCGACAGUUGUUGCUUAGACGGUGGCUUUAGUCUUACUGUUGUAUGACGUUGUAAGGUCUUGUGAGAAUAAUUAAUAAAGUGGCCGCAUGCAUCGCCCAGAUGCAGAGGCCGGGAGUCCUCCUGCUUUUCUAAAAAAAAACUGGUUAGUGAGCUGAUCCUCCCGAAAUUGGCGUCAUGGAAUGGGGAAAAGAUUCUGUAACAUUUCAUUGUUAUUGACGUUUAGGUAAUCCUAUCUAUCCCAUUAUGUACCGGCCAGAUGGAUGACUUCUAGCAUUGGAACUUUAAGAAGAAAGUGUCCUUUUUAGUCUGAUCAGCUUACUGUAUGUUAGUGUCCACUUUACGGCCUGUUUAGUGGAACAGCUGAUACUUCAAGUUCUGACAGAGAUGAGAAAUGCUGGAGCAAAAUCUGGAAGGUGCAGAUCCCGUCGAAGUUGAAAAUUUCUUUUAGCCUUUAACUAAGCAGUGCCUUCCUACGACAGACGUCUUACACCGUUGCAACAUGUCACCGGUAAACAAUUACAGACUUUGUGGGGCUGAAAUCCUUGAUGGAUUGCACCAUGUCUGAGUGUGUCUGGGCUCUUGCGGAUCAGGACUUGGUGGAAGUGAUGAAGCAAACUAGGGAACCAAAUGCAGAAUGUUGGAUCAACCAGGACUGGUUCCCCAUGACUGGUUCGCCGUGCGUCUACUGUGCUAUCAAGAGGCUGAACAACGACAAUGCAUCUAAACAAGCUCCACUUCAGUAAUCAACGACAAUGCAUCAGUCAAGUGGAUCUUGCGGAUCCCCAUGACUGGUUCGCCGUGCGUCUACUGUGCUUCCUGAGUCCUGACCAUCCGGUACGGCCGCGGGCCGCCGUUCCCAGAUAGUUUCUUGGGGCGUCACGGGUACGGGACCUACUCUUUUGCCCCCAAACACAUGUUCUGCCGGAAGGUUGUCCUGUCCCCGCACCGCCCCGGGAGCUACGGCACCGCCAUGCUGAUCCUGUAUCGACUUUUCAGCGCCCCGGCCUUCGCCACGUCGGAGGAUGGCGCGUGGAAGCUAUCGCCGUCGGAGGACGGAGUCGAGGAUGCCAUCCACCACGAUGGCCAGUUUUACUCCGUCUCCUACUCGGGCGUCGUCGAGGUGUGGCAGCGUGACGCGGAGUAAGGCGAGUACACGAGCACGGCUGUCAAGCCAAGGCUGACCAUCGAAGAAGGCAGCUCGCCCUACCCUCUCAAGUACCUGGCAGUGGCGCCGGGUGGGCGGCUGAUGGUGGUGCUCAAGUACGCCCAUGUGAUCAAGAAGCAGUACAGAUGGGACGGGUGGACGUGCUCCUUCAAGGUCCAUGUCCUCGGCGACGACGGGCAGUGGAAUGAGACAAGGGACAUGGGCGACGUCGCACUGUUUGUCGGGAUGAACAACUCGCUGUGCAUGCCGAUGAAGGGGCGCCGGGAGCUUGAGGCUGGCUGCGUCUAUUUCACCGACGACAGACUUGGGGAUGCAACGUUUCGCGUGCGUAGUGAGUUGUCCUCGCAGUCCCACAACUCUGGGGAUGAUGAUGAUGAUGAUGUUGACAUUCGUGCCGUCGGGGUGUACAGCCUCAAGGACAGCACGGUGAAGAAGAUGGAUGUGCUCGGGCAAGUUUACAGCAGGUGCAGGUUCUUGCCGUCGCCGGUGUGGAUCAUGCCUUCCAUCCCAUGAUAUAUACCAGCAAGGUUGAUCUGUUGAACUAACUGGUUCUCUGUAUGCGCAGAAUGAAUUGAUCACAUCAAUCAUUUUUAGCUGCUCAGUCAUACUAUUGGUUACAGUGAUUAAGAUGAGUGAGAAUUAACCUGUUCUGUUGGGGAGCUCGUUAAUCAGUGGCAUUUUGGGAAAGUGAAAGGGCCUUUAAUUAACAUGUUCUGUUGGGGAGCUCGUUAAUCAUAUCAUAUGCACUGUUAUGUUUGGUUCUUCAGAUUAACCAGUGGCAUUUGGGAAAGUGAAAGGGCCUUUAAAAUGUCAAACUGAACUUUUUGAUGGCAUCAUUAGUUGUUCAUGUUCCUCAUUGUCUUGCUGCAAUCCACAUUGUGGCAGUGCUCUGAAAUAACAGUCCUGAUGUGUGCUGCUUGAUAAUAAGAUAGUUAUCUUAGUUGAACCUGCAUGCGAUGUUUUGUGAUUAUAUUUGCACAAAAAUAGGCAAUCAUGGAGUUAGUGGUAAGUGCCGCUCUAAACUCGGGUCAACUACGGCAAUGGGAGUAGGAACGGAUUUCUAUUUAUAUGUACGAUAUGAGCCAGUCCUUCACAUUUCAAACAAAAAAUAUUAACCUAGACUCAAUGGAAAAAUUCCAAUUCUAUACAUGAAAUGACAUAUCUUUCAUAUAGAAAUAGAGAUACAUAUUAUCUCACUUCCUAUGAUUUUUUCAACAUGUAGACAUACGAACACAGAUGAACAAAGACAACAUCUAUGUGGAUCCACCAAAGACAAUCGCCGACCAAAUCCCGUAAGAUCUGCAGGAGAUAAACCUCCACACGCCCUCCGAUGGUGCUAGAAACACCACCAGGACGGGGGCUAGGUGGGAAGAAUCUUAUUUUAUUUUCAGAGAGCUGCCACUGCCUCGACACUCUGAGCAUGAUACAAACCCUAACAAAAUUUUAAAAAAAGAAGCAUGAAAAAAACAGAGCCCUCCUCCGGCAAGGACCGAGAUCCAUCAUGCCUUGAUGGGCCUAAGACCACGGGGGACGAGGUAGACCGGUAGCGGCGUGGACAGGAGGCAGGAGAAGCCCUGGCGCGAAUGAUUACACAGGCCUACGAGCGGCCCUGGCGUGUAGUACUCGUUCGUACCUACUCCCUCGUUUUGCUCGUUUCUAAAUAUAAGACCUUUUAUAGAUUUCAACAAAGACUACAUACAGAUGUAUGUAGACAUAUUUUAGAGUGUAGAUUCACUCGUUUUGCUCUGCAUGUAGUUUGUAUUGGAAUAUCUAAAAGGGCUUAUAUGUAGGAACAAAGGGAGUAUAUUUUUCCUUGACACGACAAAUAACACAAUGUGGUACCUUUGUCUGGGUACUGUUGCUAGUAUUAUUUCUUGCCAUGUUUCAAAUUCAAAAACUCACUAGUAUUUUUUUAUUCCCAUAUCAUGUGCAAAAUUUUCGCACAUCAAUUUCCAUGAAGUGUAUUUUUCAACAUAACGACAAUUUUUAUGAACUUGUUCUAAUAUAACAUUUUGUACAACCAUGGCAACUCUUUUUGUGCUCAGUUUUAGUACACUUGAUCUUUCAAAAAUAUAUGGUAGUUUCAUCCACUAGAGCAUGGCAACUUUACUGUUGCGUAGCAUGGACUUUCUUGAUUAUUCUUUAAGAGUGCUUUUUAGGCCUUUUUGUUUUCUCUUUUAUUUUUUGGGAGAGGCCGGAGCAUUCUCUCUCUCUCUCUCUCUCUGAAGUAUCGAAGGAAGAUAUGGAUCAGAUUUUUAUUCCUUUUCUCUCCAUUUUAUCAAUGACCAUCAGCGGAUCGACGGAUGGACGGUGUUCCUCACUAGGAUGAGUCAUGUGUGUGUGUGUGUGUGUGUUGACAGAUCUUUGGAUCGGAGUAGGCUAGUAGAUCCGGUGAACCUACCUUGUCCAGCAGCGGAUGAACUCGAGCCGGAGGCCAUCGUGACGCUAGGGCACACGGCAAUGGCAGAGAGUAGGCGACGGUGGUGGAGCUUCCCGUGAGCACCGCGCUAACCCUAGAUCGGUAGGGAUUGUAGAAGGGGAUUGUGGCAGCGAUUAACCUCGUAAGUCAUGCCCCGGCCCCCACCUCUGUUUAUAUAGCGCGGGUCACAGGGGCCCACCAACCAUGGUUUGGUUGGGCGCCCCCGAUCAGGGCGCGAGUCAGGGGCCCGUUCGACCCGUUGGGUUCGAACGGAAGAGAGAUCAACCUAACAUUCUCCCUCUUGAUCUCAACUUUACUUUUAACUUUAUACUUUCUAGUUUAUCUGUUUCAUCACAUAUUGGUACAUAGAGCAUGUUUCAUCGUCACGGCUUAAUUGCCGUUAGAAUCAUACAGCUACAACAUACGUUAUGUUCAGAAACAAAUUCUGUUCCUUUUGGGUCUAUCCAGAAAUCAUAAGGCUUUCCCUUAAACCCAUGCCGGCUAAGUGUUCCUUGAACACAUUGGGUGGUAAGCCUUUCGUUAGCGGAUCCGCAAGCAUAUCCUUUGUCCUUAUAUGCUCGAGACUUAUAGUUUGAUCCUGGAUUUUAUCUUUCACAACAUAAUACCUUAUCUCUAUUGUUUUGGCAGCAUUACUCGACUUGUUGUUGUGAGCAUAGAAUACUGCGGGCUGGUUAUCACAGUACAUCUUUAGUGGUUUGUGAAUGCAAUCUACCACUUUCAAGUCGGGUACAAAUUUCUUUAGCCAUAUCGCCUGCCCCGUGGCUUCGAAGCAUGCUAUGAAUUCUGCAUACAUCGUGGAUGAUGCAACUAUCGACUGUUUGGAGCUUUUCCACGAAAUAGCUCCCCCAGCGAGGGUGAAUAUGUAUCCUGACGUGGAUUUUCUAUCAUCUCUGUCCCCCGCAAAAUCUGCGUCUGAAUACCCUUUUAUCUCUAAGGAAUCACUUCUCCUGUAUAUUAGCAUGUAGUCCUUCGUGCCUUGCGCAUAACGCAAUGCUUUCUUUACCAUCUUCCAGUGCUCUAGGCCUGGAUUCUCUUGAUAUCUACCGAGUACCCCGGUGAUAAAAGCUAAGUCAGGGCGAGUGCACACUUGUGCAUACUGUAAGCUGCCAACUGCCGAAGCAUAUGGUACUGCUUUCAUUUGAUCGAUCUCAUACUGGUUCUUGGGACAUUGGAAUUUCCCAAAACUAUCGCCCUUGACUAUUGGAGCAGGUGUGGCUUUACUCACAUGCAUAUUAUACUUUUUAAGAACCUUUUCUAAAUAUGCUUUCUGAGAUAGUCCUAAGACUCCAUUGUUCCUAUCUCGGUGAAUUUCUAUGUCCAAAACAUAUGAUGCUUCACCAAGAUCUGUUAUGUCAAAAUUUGAGGAUAAGUAUUUCUUUGUUUCUUGUAGUAGACUAACAUCACUACUAGCAAGCAGGAUAUCAUCCACAUACAAGAUUAGGAAAAUAUAUUUCCCAUUUUUAAACAUUGCAUAAAUGCAAUUAUCCUCAAUAUUUUCUUUAAAUCCAAAACUUUUAAUCGUUUGAUUAAACUUUAGAUACCACUGCCGAGAGGCUUGUCUUAAUCCAUAAAUGGAUUUCUUCAGGCGGCAUCCCAUAUUUUCCUUGCCUUCCAUGAUAAAACCCUUGGGUUGUUUCAUGUAGACCUUUUCUUUUAAAUCACCAUUCAGAAAUGCCGUCUUAACAUCCAUUUGAUGUAACUCUAAAUCAAAAUGAGCAACUAAUGCCAUUAUGAUUCUGAAGGAAUCAUUACAUGAGACUGGAGAAAAUGUCUCAUUGUAAUCUAUCCCUUCUCUUUGUGUAAAUCCUUUUGCCACGAGUCGUGCUUUAUACUUUUCUAUAUUCCCUUUAGAGUCAUACUUAAUUUUGUAGACCCAUUUACAGCCUACUGUUUUGGCUCCUUUGGGAAUUUCCUCUAAGUCCCAAACAUCUUUGGAACUCAUUGAUUUCAUCUCGUCUUCCAUUGCCUUCAUCCACUUUGAUGAAUGAGGGCUUCUCAUGGCUUCUUCAUAUGAGGUGGGAUCUUUUUUCCAUAUGAACCAUUUCUGUGUUAUAAACUUUAAAGUCAGUAGAAAUAGCUGACUUUCUUGGUCUUGUAGACCUUCUAAGGGCCUCAGUUUCUGGCACAUUUUGUGCCUCAACUUCUGGCACUUCUUCUAAAAUUUGCUGUUGCACCUCCCUUUCAUGCUCAACAUCGGGUUCAGUCGGCUCCUGACGGACAGGUUCCGGGUCUUCCCCCAUAGCUGUCAUGGGUGGAGUUGCAACUGGUAGUGAGAAAAAAGGCUCCUGUAUCAUCGGAUUAGGUGCAUGCACCCUCUUCUCCUCAAGAUCAAUUUUCCGAGCUACCAAGCUCCCCCUCAUCAUUUCGUCCUCUAAGAAGACUGCAUGUCUCGUUUCUACAAACUUUGUAUAUCUGUCAGGGCAGUAGAAACGAAAACCUUUUGAUCUGUCUGGAUAGCCAAUAAAGUGGCAACUUACUGUUUUGGGAUCUAACUUUGCAAUGUUUGGAUUAAACAUUUUGGCCUCAGCAGGGCACCCCCACACCUUGAAGUGUUGUAGGGAGGGAACCCGUCCUGUCCAUAGCUCGUACAGUGUUUUGGGCACCGACUUGCUUGGUACUCUAUCGAGAAUGUGAAUGGUGGUUUUAAGCGCCUCCAUCCAUAAUCCCAAUGGCAAGUUGGAAUAACUCAUCAUGCUGCGCACCAUAUCCAUAAGUGUACGGUUGCGCCUUUCAGCUACUCCAUUCUUUUCUCUCAGAGUGGGAUACAUUAAAAGCACAUGAGUUAUCAUAUUUUUCUCUUGCCAUAAUUUCUCCCGCCAUACGGGAUUUUUGACAUAAUAUUAUGUCAGCUUUACCCCGUUACGCAGGUAUUUUCCCAGACUUUUUCCGCCAUGCAGGUUUUAUCAUAAUCAUCUUUUCCCGCCAUGCGGGUAAUUCCCUGUAAGGGAACAUAAAUGCCAGAAUUGGCUCUUUUGACUGCAUAUUCAAUCAUCAAAUUUAGGAAUAAAUCUGAAUGCUCUUUGACACACAUGCUUGACCCGACGUUGGUCAAAUUAAACACGCAUGUUACUUUUUUCAUCCCAAAUCAUGUUGACUGGAAAAACUUCUUCAUAGAGAGUACAUGAAAGACAUUCAUCAACCAAGACUCUGAAUGAUCUAUCUCUUUUCUUUUUAUGCCAUUCUUUAGAGAGAACAUACUCCCUCACGUUAUGACUUUUCUUGGUCAUCUUUUGGGUCACAAGUACCCAGCCAUUCGCUUUCACGAAUGAAAGCAUGCAAAACUUUUAGUCUGAGAAAACUUAGCCAAUAAUCAACAAUGAUGGGCAUAAAAAAUAACCCUACGUUGGUCUGGUUAAAAGAAAUGCACAUUAAACUUUUGAAACUUUCUUUUAUAUUCUAAAUCACCAUUGUGGCAGAAUUAGAAUAAACAUCAUCCUUAUACAUUAAUUCCAUAUCACCGUUGGGCGGAAAUGGAAAUAAUGCAUAUAACUUAUAAACAAUGUGAUGAUAGUAUUUCUAUUAAACAACUUUGCUAAGAAUUAAUCUUCACCAUCAACUUUAUUGCAGCGGGAACAAAAAAUAUACAUUUCUCUAGUUCAAGAGCAUUUCUUGAUCUUUAUCCGUUCUCUGAAAAUUGACCACUUUGAUACAAAACUUAUCAGAGAUUUAAACUUUGAACAUAAGACUCAUAGAAUGAUAGCAUUGUUAUCAUCAACGUUCGUCAGAAAAUAACAAUACCACAUUUUAACUUUAAAACAAAUAUCUUUCUUUUGUCAUAGUGGAAACUAUCUGCAUCUUAUUUCACCCACAGGGGAAAAACAUUGCUAAGAACAUUUCUUCCAAUUAAAUUUUCCCGUUGGUUCCAAUUUAAUUGGAGGAUAAAACUUUUACUUUGCAGCAGAAACUUUAUAAUAUUCUAUUCAAAAAUAAUUCUGUACUCUUUUACUCUCUAAGCAAUUUUAACCGGUUGGUUCAAAAAUGCAUUAGAGAAGCAACAAUUUAAUAUCUUACUUUAGUUCGAUUCACUUUUAAAAGAGCACCUUUAAAUUUCAAUAAUAAAAGAUGAUCAUGUUAUUAACAACGUUGGUCAUACAAAUAACAUAAUCAUAUUCAUUAAAAUAUUCACUUUAACAUGCUCUUAAAAAACUUAAUUCUUUUUGAACUUUUAUUUUCUUUGUAAAAGAGCACUAUUAAUUAUUUACACAGCGGAAAAUCAUGAAUAAAAAUUCACGAACUUUUACUCUUUAGAGAAACUUUUUCUUUGACAGAAUAAAAAAUUAUGAACUUUUUAAUUUUCUUUAUAAAAAUCAUGAACAUUUCUUUUUCUGGACAAUUUUUUUUGGAUUAAUUUGAAAAGAAAAGCUAUAGAAAAUUAGCCAGCUCCAGCCGGCCUCGGCCUGGCACGGGAGGCCCGCAGCGGCCCAAGGCCUGCUCCACCGCAAGCUCUGCCGCCCAAGCCACUGGGCUCAAGGCGUGGCUGCCAAUCGGCCCAGCUUCUGUGCCCGCGCUGCCGACGCCGGCCUAUGCCACUUUCAGCCCAAAAGACCCGUGUCCAGUUAGGGUUUUGAUCCUGGACGUCCGUGGAGAUCCGACGGCCAUCCGCGGCUUUCGCUUGGUCAAAACCAGUGCCGACCGAUCUCGAACCCUACCCCCGUUCACGUUCUCUCUUCGCGCGCCGCUCGCACCCCUCUCGCUCGCUGUCCUGACCGGGUCGGGCCACCGUGCCGCGGCACCAGGCCGGCCGCCGGCGACGAGCGCCAGCGCGCCACCCCGCCGUGCGCCUCUGUUUCCUUCCCCCAUUCUCUCUCGUCGCGCCGCAAGCCUCUGUCCUGCACGGGACUUCGCCGGCCGCGCGGAAAAACCACGCCAGCCGCCGGCGACCGCGUCGGGCCACCGCGCCAUGCGAGCCGCUCUGGCCUCCUUUCCCCCUUUCCUCCCUUUACCCCCUCCUUCUCUGUGACAGAGAGAGCGAGAGAGAAACGCGACCAAGCUGUGUAGCGGGGUUGGGGCUCCACCGGCCGCUAGCGACGGCGUGAAGCCACCGCACCGCGCGAGCCGCGCGCGAGCCCCCUUCUCUUUCCCCCCACUGUCCUUUUCCACCGCCCGCUCCUCCUCGCAGUAAAUGACGACGGCGGAGCUUCGAGCGGCGGUGCCAUUGCCAUUCCCUUCGCCGGCUGCGCGUUCCCGUCUGUGGUGAGCGCGCCGCCGUCGAACGGAUCGGCCGCGGUACACUUUGCCCCUUGCGGGGUUGUUCUUCGUCCGAACGGCUCGGCUUGCCGAUGCCCGUUCGGAUCGAGAGGAACUGGCGCGGCCGGUGUGGCGGCGCACUUUGCCGGCGAGCCCGAGGGCCUCUUCCGGUGAUCUUUGUGCUGUUCUUUUUGUUUGCUUUUCUCUGCCCAGAUAGGGUUCUUUGGGGAGGGAAAAACUUGUUGGAAAUAUGCCCUAGAGGCAAUAAUAAAUGGUUAUUAUUAUAUUUCUUUGUUCAUGAUAAUUGUCUAUUGUUCAUGCUAUAAUUGUGUUAUCCGGAAAUCGUAAUACAUGUGUGAAUACAUAGACCACAACGUGUCCCUAGUAAGCCUCUAGUUGACUAGCUCGUUGAUCAACAGAUAGUCAUGGUUUCCUGACUAUGGACAUUGGAUGUCAUUGAUAAUGAGAUCACAUCAUUAGGAGAAUGAUGUGAUGGACAAGACCCAAUCCUAAGCAUAGCUCAAAGAUCGUGUAGUUCGUUUGCUAGAGCUUUUCCAAUGUCAAGUAUCUUUUCCUUAGACCAUGAGAUCGUGUAACUCCCGGAUACCGUAGGAGUGCUUUGGGUGUGCCAAACGUCACAACGUAACUGGGUGACUAUAAAGGUACACUACGGGUAUCUCCGAAAGUGUCUGUUGGGUUGGCACGGAUCGAGACUGGGAUUUGUCACUCCGUAUGACGGAGAGGUAUCUCUGGGCCCACUCGGUAAUGCAUCAUCAUAAUGAGCUCAAUGUGACUAAGGCGUUAGUCACGGGAUCAUGCAUUGCGGUACGAGUAAAGAGACUUGCCGGUAACAAGAUUGAACAAGGUAUUGGGAUACCGACGAUCGAAUCUCGGGCAAGUAACAUACCGAUUGACAAAGGGAAUUGUAUAGGGGAUUGAUUGAAUCCUCGACAUUGUGGUUCAUCCGAUGAGAUCAUCGUGUGAACAUGUGGGAGCCAACAUGGGUAUCCAGACCCCGCUGUUGGUUAUUGACCGGAGAGGCGUCUCGGUCAUGUUUGCAUGUUUCCCGAACCCGUAGGGUCUACACACUUAAGGUUCGGUGACGCUAGGGUUGUAGAGAUAUGAGUAUGCGGAAACCCGAAAGUUGUUCGGAGUCCCGGAUGAGAUCCCGGACGUCACGACGAGUUCCGGAAUGGUCCAGAGGUGAAGAAUUAUAUAUAGGAAGUCAAGUUUCGGCCACCGGGAAAGUUUCGGGGGUCACCGGUAUUGUACCGGGACCACCGGAAGGGUCCCGGGGGUCCACCGGGUGGGGCCACCUAUCCCGGAGGGCCCCAUGGGCUGAAGUGGGAAGGGAACCAGCCCUUAGUGGGCUGGGACGCCCCCCAUGGGCCUCCCCCCUGCGCCUAGGGUUGGAAACCCUAGGGUGGGGGGGCGCCCCACUUGCCUUGGGGGGCAAGUCUCCCCCCUGGCCGCCGCCCGCCAUGCAGAUGGGUUCCUGGCCGGCGCCCCCCUCCCAGGGGGCCUAUAUAAAGGGGGGAGGGAGGGCAGCAGUACUACAGCCUUUGGCGCCUCCCUCCUCCCCUGCAGCACCUCUCCCUCUCGCAGAAGCUCGGCGAAGCCCUGCCGAGACCCCGCUACAUCCACCACCACGCCGUCGUGCUGCUGGAUCUCCAUCAACCUCUCAUUCCCCCUUGCUGGAUCAAGAAGGAGGAGACGUCUCUGCUCCGUACGUGUGUUGAACGCGGAGGUGCCGUCCGUUCGGCACUCGGUCAUUGGUGAUUUGGAUCACGGCGAGUACGACUCCAUCAACCCCGUUCAUUGGAACGCUUCCGCUCGCGAUCUACAAGGGUAUGUAGAUGCACUCCUUUCCCCUUGUUGCUAGUAUACUCCAUAGAUGGAUCUUGGUGAGCGUAGGAAAAUUUUAAAAUUCUGCUACGAUCCCCAACAGUGGCAUCAUGAGCCAGGCCUAUGCGUAGUUACUAUGCACGAGUAGAACACAAAGCAGUUGUGGGCGUAGAUGUUGCCAAUUCUUCUUGCCGCUACUAGUCUUAUCUUGUUUCGGCGGUAUUGUGGGAUGAAGCGGCCCGGACCGACCUUACAUGUACGCUUACGUGAGACAGGUUCCACCGACUGACAUGCACUAGUUGCAUAAGGUGGCUAGCGGGUGUCUGUCUCUCCUACUUUAGUCGGAAUGGACUCGAUGAAAAGGGUCCUUAUGAAGGGAUAGAAAUUGGCAUAUCACGUUGUGGUCAUACGUAGGUAAGAAACGUUCUUGCUAGAAACCUACAAGCCACAUAAAAACUUGCAACAACAAUUAGAGGACAUCUAACUUGUUUUUGCAGCAUGUGCUAUGUGAUGUGAUAUGGCCAGAAGAUGUGAUGAAUGAUAUAUGUGAUGUAUGAGAUUGAUCAUAUUCUUGUAAUAGGAAUCACGACUUGCAUGUCGAUGAGUAUGACAACCGGCAGGAGCCAUAGGAGUUGUCUUUAUUAUUUUGUAUGACCUGCGUGUCAUUGAAUAACGCCAUGUAAAUUACUUUACUUUAUUGCUAAACAUGUUAGCCGUAGAAGUAGAAGUAAUCGUUGGCGUGACAACUUCAUGAAGACACAAUGAUGGAGAUCAUGAUGAUGGAGAUCAUGGGGUCAUGCCGGUGACGAAGAUGAUCAUGGUGCCCCGAAGAUGGAGAUCAAAGGUGCAAAAUGAUAUUGGCCAUAUCAUGUCACUAUUUGAUUGCAUGUGAUGUUUAUCAUGUUUUGCAUCUUAUUUACUUAGUACGACGGUAGUAAGUAAGAUGAUCCCUUAUAAUAAUUUCAAGAAAGUGUUCACCCUAACUUUGCACCGUUGCGAAGGUUCGUUGUUUCGAAGCACCACGUGAUGAUCGGGUGUGAUAGAUUCUAACGUUCGCAUACAACGGGUGUUGACGAGCCUAGCAUGUACAGACAUGGCCUCGGAACACACGCAAUACACUUAGGUUGACUUAACGAGCCUAGCAUGUACAGACAUGGCCUCGGAACACGGAGGACCGAAAGGUCGAGCAUGAGUCGUAUAGAAGAUACGAUCAACAUGGAGAUGUUCACCGAUCUUGACUAGUCCGUCUCACGUGAUGAUCGGACACGGCCUAGUUAACUCGGAUCAUGUUUCACUUAGAUGACUAGAGGGAUGUCUAUCUGAGUGGGAGUUCAUUGAGUAAUUUGAGUAGAUGAACUUAAUUAUCAUGAACUUAGUCUAAAAUCUUCACAAUAUGUCUUGUAGAUCAAAUGGCCCACGUUGUCCUCAACAUCAACGCGUUCCUAGAGAAAACCAAGCUGAAAGAUGAUGGCAGCAACUAUACGGACUGGGUCCGGAACCUGAGGAUCAUCCUCAUAGCUGCCAAGAAAGAUUAUGUCCUAGAAGCACCGCUAGGUGAAGCACCAAUCCCAGAGAACCAAGACGUUAUGAACGCUUGGCAAUCACGUGCAGAUGAUUACUCCCUUGUUCAGUGCGGCAUGCUUUACAGCUUAGAACCGGGGCUCCAAAAGCGUUUUGAGAAGCAUGGAGCAUAUGAGAUGUUCGAAGAGCUGAAAAUGGUUUUCCAAGCUCAUGCCCGGGUCGAGAGAUAUGAAGUCUCCGACAAGUUCUUCAACUGUAAAAUGGAGGAGAAUAGUUCUGUAAGUGAGCACAUACUCAGAAUGUCUGGGUUGCACAACCGCUUGUCUCAGCUGGGAGUUAAUCUCCCGGAUGACGCGGUCAUUGACAGAAUCCUUCAGUCGCUUCCACCAAGCUACAAGAGCUUUGUGAUGAACUUCAAUAUGCAGGGGAUGGAAAAGACCAUUCCUGAGGUAUAUUCGAUGAUGAAAUCAGCGGAGGUGGAGAUCAGAAAAGAACAUCAAGUGUUGAUGGUGAAUAAAACCACUAAGUUCAAGAAGGGCAAGGGUAAGAAGAACUUCAAGAAGGACGGCAAGGGAGUUGCCGCGCCCGGUAAGCCAGUUACUGGGAAGAAGUCAAGGAAUGGACCCAAGCCUGAGACUGAGUGCUUUUAUUGCAAGGGAAGUGGUCACUGGAAGCGGAACUGCCCCAAAUACUUAGAGGACAAGAAGGCCGGCAACACCAAAGGUAUAUGUGAUAUACAUGUAAUUGAUGUGUACCUUACCAGUACUCGUAGUAGCUCCUGGGUAUUUGAUACCGGUGCGGUUGCUCACAUUUGUAACUCAAAACAGGAACUACGGAAUAAGCAAAGACUGGCGAAGGACGAGGUGACGAUGCGCGUCGGGAAUGGUUCCAAGGUCGAUGUGAUCGCCGUCGGCACGCUACCUCUGCAUCUACCUACGGGAUUAGUUUUAAACCUCAAUAAUUGUUAUUUAGUGCCAGCUUUGAGCAUGAACAUUGUAUCUGGAUCUCGUUUAAUUCGAGAUGGCUACUCAUUUUAAAUCUGAGAAUAAUGGUUGUUCUAUUUAUAUGAGAGAUAUGUUUUAUGGUCAUGCCCCGCUGGUCAAUGGUUUAUUCUUGAUGAAUCUCGAACGUGAUGUUACACAUAUUCAUAGUGUGAAUACCAAAAGAUGUAAAGUUGAUAACGGUAGUCCCACAUACUUGUGGCACUGCCGCCUUGGUCACAUUGGUGUCAAGCGCAUGAAGAAGCUCCAUGUAGAUGGACUUUUGGAGUCUCUUGAUUACGAAUCAUUUGACACGUGUGAACCAUGCCUCAUGGGUAAGAUGACCAAGACUCCGUUCUCCGGAACAAUGGAGCGAGCAACCAACUUAUUGGAAAUCAUACAUACCGAUGUGUGCGGUCCAAUGAGUGUUGAGGCUCGCGGAGGAUAUCGUUAUGUUCUCACUCUCACUGAUGACUUAAGUAGAUAUGGGUAUGUCUACCUAAUGAAACACAAGUCUGAAACCUUUGAAAAGUUCAAGGAAUUUCAGAGUGAGGUUGAGAAUCAACGUGACAGGAAAAUAAAAUUCUUACGAUCAGAUCGUGGUGGAGAAUAUUUAAGUCACGAAUUUGGUGCGCACUUAAGGAAAUGUGGAAUCGUUUCACAACUCACGCCGCCUGGAACACCUCAGCGAAACGGUGUGUCCGAACGUCGUAAUCGCACUCUAUUGGAUAUGGUGCGAUCUAUGAUGUCUCUUACCGAUUUACCGCUCUCAUUUUGGGGCUAUGCUUUAGAGACUGCCGCAUUCACUUUAAAUAGGGCUCCGUCGAAAUCCGUUGAGACGACACCGUAUGAAUUAUGGUUUGGGAAGAAACCUAAGCUGUCGUUUCUAAAAGUUUGGGGAUGCGAUGCUUAUGUCAAGAAACUUCAACCUGAAAAGCUCGAACCCAAGUCGGAAAAAUGCGUCUUCAUAGGAUACCCCAAGGAAACUAUUGGGUAUACCUUCUACCUCAGAUCCGAAGGCAAGAUCUUUGUUGCCAAGAACGGGUCCUUUCUGGAGAAAGAGUUUCUCUCGAAAGAAUUGAGUGGGAGGAAAGUGGAACUUGAUGAGGUGAUAGUCACCCCUUCCGUACCGGAAAGUAGCGCAGCGCGGGAAGAUGUUCCUGUGGUGCCUACACCGACUGGGGAGGAAGUUAAUGAUGAUGAUCAUGAAGCUUCAGAUCAAGUUACUGCUGAACUUCGUAGGUCCACAAGGACACGUUCCGCACCAGAGUGGUACGGCAACCCUGUUCUGGAAAUCAUGUUGUUAGACAACGGUGAACCUUCGAACUAUGAAGAAGCGAUGGCGGGCCCGGAUUCCGACAAAUGGCUAGAAGCCAUGAAAUCCGAGAUAGGAUCCAUGUAUGAGAACGAAGUAUGGACUUUGACUGACUUGCCCGAUGAUCGGCGAGCCAUAGAAAAUAAAUGGAUCUUUAAGAAGAAGACAGACGCGGAUGGUAAUGUGACCAUCUAUAAGGCUCGACUUGUCGCUAAGGGUCAUCGACAAGUUCAAGGGGUUGACUACGAUGAGACUUUCUCACCCGUAGCGAAGCUGAAGUCCGUCCGAAUCAUGUUAGCAAUUGCCGCAUACUAUGAUUAUGAGAUAUGGCAGAUGGACGUCAAAACGGCAUUCCUUAACGGCUUCCUUAAGGAAGAGUUGUAUAUGAUGCAGCCGGAAGGUUUUGUCGAUCCUAAGAAUGCUAACAAAGUAUGCAAGCUCCAGCGCUCAAUCUAUGGGCUGGUGCAAGCAUCUCGGAGUUGGACCAUUCGCUUUGAUGAGAUGAUCAAAGCGUUUGGGUUUACACAGACUUAUGGAGAAGCAUGUGUUUACAAGAAAGUGAGUGGGAGCUUUGUAGCAUUUCUCUUAUUGUAUGUGGAUGACAUACUAUUGAUGGGAAAUGAUAUAGAAUUCUUGGAAAGUAUAAAGGCCUAUUUGAAUAAGUGUUUUUCAAUGAAGGACCUUGGAGAAGCUGCUUAUAUAUUAGGCAUCAAGAUCUAUAGAGAUAGAUCAAGACGCCUCAUUGGUCUUUCACAGAGUACUUACCUUGACAAGAUAUUGAAGAAGUUCAAUAUGGAUCAGUCCAAGAAGGGGUUCUUGCCUGUAUUGCAAGGUGUGCAAUUGAGCACGGCUCAAUGCCCGACCACGGCAGAAGAUAGAGAAAAGAUGAGUGUCAUCCCCUAUGCCUCGGCCAUAGGGUCUAUUAUGUAUGACAUGCUGUGUACCAGACCUGAUGUAAACCUUGCCGUAAGUUUGGUAGGAAGGUACCAAAGUAAUCCCGGCAUGGAACACUGGACAGCGGUCAAGAAUAUCCUGAAGUACCUGAAGAGGACUAAGGAUAUGUUUCUCGUUUAUGGAGGUGACGAAGAGCUCGUCGUAAAGGGUUACGUCGACGCUAGCUUCGACACAGAUCUGGAUGACUCCAAGUCACAAACCGGAUACGUGUAUAUUUUGAAUGGAGGAGCAGUAAGCUGGUGCAGUUGCAAGCAAAGCGUCGUGGCGGGAUCUACAUGUGAAGCGGAGUACAUGGCAGCCUCAGAGGCAGCGCAAGAAGCAAUCUGGAUGAAGGAGUUCAUUACCGACUUAGGGGUGAUUCCCAAUGCGUCGGGCCCGAUGACCCUCUUCUGUGACAACACUGGAGCUAUUGCCCUUGCGAAGGAGCCCAGGUUUCACAGGAAGACCAGGCAUAUCAAGCGUCGCUUCAACUCCAUUCAUGAAAGUGUUUAGAAUGGAGACAUAGAUAUUUGUAAAGUACAUACGGAUCUGAAUGUAGCAGAUCCGUUGACUAAACCUCUCCCUAGAGCAAAACAUGAUCAACACCAGAACGCUAUGGGUGUUCGAUUCAUCACAAUGUAACUAGAUUAUUGACUCUAGUGCAAGUGGGAGACUGUUGGAAAUAUGCCCUAGAGGCAAUAAUAAAUGGUUAUUAUUAUAUUUCUUUGUUCAUGAUAAUUGUCUAUUGUUCAUGCUAUAAUUGUGUUAUCCGGAAAUCGUAAUACAUGUGUGAAUACAUAGACCACAACGUGUCCCUAGUAAGCCUCUAGUUGACUAGCUCGUUGAUCAACAGAUAGUCAUGGUUUCCUGACUAUGGACAUUGGAUGUCAUUGAUAACGAGAUCACAUCAUUAGGAGAAUGAUGUGAUGGACAAGACCCAAUCCUAAGCAUAGCUCAAAGAUCGUGUAGUUCGUUUGCUAGAGCUUUUCCAAUGUCAAGUAUCUUUUCCUUAGACCAUGAGAUCGUGUAACUCCCGGAUACCGUAGGAGUGCUUUGGGUGUGCCAAAUGUCACAACGUAACUGGGUGACUAUAAAGGUACACUACGGGUAUCUCCGAAAGUGUCUGUUGGGUUGGCACGGAUCGAGACUGGGAUUUGUCACUCCGUAUGACGGAGAGGUAUCUCUGGGCCCACUCGGUAAUGCAUCAUCAUAAUGAGCUCAAUGUGACUAAGGCGUUAGUCACGGGAUCAUGCAUUGCGGUACGAGUAAAGAGACUUGCCGGUAACGAGAAUGAACAAGGUAUUGGGAUACCGACGAUCGAAUCUCGGUCAAGUAACAUACCGAUUGACAAAGGGAAUUGUAUACGGGAUUGAUUGAAUCCUCGACAUCGUGGUUCAUCCGAUGAGAUCAUCGUGGAACAUGUGGGAGCCAACAUGGGUAUCCAGAUCCCGUUGUUGGUUAUUGACCGGAGAGGCGUCUCGGUCAUGUCUGCAUGUCUCCCGAACCCGUAGGGUCUACACACUUAAGGUUCGGUGACGCUAGGGUUGUAGAGAUAUGAGUAUGCGGAAACCCGAAAGUUGUUCGGAGUCCCUGAUGAGAUCCCGGACGUCACGAGGAGUUCCGGAAUGGUCCGGAGGUGAAGAAUUAUAUAUAGGAAGUCAAGUUUCGGCCACCGGGAAAGUUUCGGGGGUCACCGGUAUUGUACCGGGACCACCGGAAGGGUCCCGGGGGUCCAUCGGGUGGGGCCACCUAUCCCGGAGGGCCCCAUGGGCUGAUGUGGGAAGGGAACCAGCCCUUAGUGGGCUGGGACGCCCCCCAUGGGCCUCCCCCCUGCGCCUAGGGUUGGAAACCCUAGGGUGGGGGGGCGCCCCACAUGCCUUGGGGGGCAAGUCUCCCCCCUGGCCGCCGCCACCCAUGCAGAUGGGUUCCUAGCCGGCGCCCCCCCCCCUCCCAGGGGGCCUAUAUAAAGGGGGGAGAGAGGGCAGCAGUACUACAGCCUUUGGCGCCUCCCUCCUCCCCUGCAACACCUCUCCCUCUCGCAGAAGCUCGGCGAAGCCCUGCCGAGACCCCGCUACAUCCACCACCACGCCGUCGUGCUGCUGGAUCUCCAUCAACCUCUCAUUCCCCCUUGCUGGAUCAAGAAGGAGGAGACGUCGCUGCUCCGUACGUGUGUUGAACGCGGAGGUGCCGUCCGUUCGGCACUCGGUCAUCGGUGAUUUGGAUCACGGCGAGUACGACUCCAUCAACCCCGUUCAUUGGAACGCUUCCGCUCACAAUCUACAAGGGUAUGUAGAUGCACUCCUUUCCCCUCGUUGCUAGUAUACUCCAUAGAUGGAUCUUGGUGAGCGUAGGAAAAUUUUAAAAUUCUGCUACGAUCCCCAACAAAACUAUUGCUUUCAUUUCUUUCUACCGAAAACAACUAGCCCGAUCUGGCUGAUACCAUUGAUAGAUCUUUGGAUCGGAGUAGGCUAGUAGAUCCGGUGAACCUACCUUGUCCAGCAGCGGAUGAACUCGAGCCGGAGGCCAUAGUGAUGCUAGGGCACACGGCGAUGGCAGAGAGUAGGUGACGGUGGUGGAGCUUCCCGUGAGCACCGCGCUAACCCUAAAUCGGUAGGGAUUGUAGGAGGGGAUUGUGGCAGCGAUUAACCUCGUAAGUCGUGCCCCGGCCCCCACCUCUGUUUAUAUAGCGCGGGUCACAGGGGCCCACCAACCAUGGUUUGGUUGGGCGCCCCCGAUCAGGGCGCGAGUCAAGGGCCCGUUCGACCCGUUGGGUUUGAACGGGAGAGAGAUCAACCUAACAUGUGUGUGUGUGUGUGUCGGAGUUGCUUUUUUCAGCAUGGAUGAGAAGAUCUUUAUUGAGGAAAGGAAAGUUACGAUCUCGUUUAAAAUUUUGUAGGUUAUUACUUGAUUGAGAGGAUUGGUCGAGAAGGAAAUUAAUGUUAUGAUUCCGUUCAAAGUAUUGCAAGUUAUAACUUGUUUGAGAGGAAUCGGCUGAGCUAUGUGGGAGCGGUCGUAGUAGGGAGGGAAACCCUGGAAGCAAGGAAGCGAAUGUCCAACUCUCCUUUAGCAGUAAAGAUUUUUCAGCAAGGAUGAGAGGAUCUUUCUGAGGAUAGGAAAGUUAAGAUUCCACUCACGUUUCUGCAAGUUAUUACUUAAUUGAGAGGAAUCGUUGAGAAGGAAAGGAAAGUUAUGAUCCGUUCAGAUUUUUGCAAGUGAUUACUUGAUUGAGAGGGGCCGACUAAGAUUUGUUGAAGCGAUUGUAGUAGAGAGUGGCUAGGAAAUGAACGCCUAACUCGCCUUUAAUAGUAGAGAGAUAUGUAUAUAUCUAUAUCGAUAACAAUAUAGAAAGACACAAAGGUGCGGAUCAAAUUAAUCUCGACCAUCAAACGAUGUCAAUCCAACGAUGUAGAUUUGCUCCAAUGGUGAGUGCUCAAAAUUUUUAGCUGCAAUUAAUAUCAUACCAAAUAUAAACAUAUGUGCUAAUCACAUAAUUAAUGCAUAACUGAUAUUCUACCGAAUAUAAAUAUGCAAUUAAUUUUCGUCCUAAUAUGUUUGAGUAGUACCACAUUUUCUCCCACCCGCGCUACUACUAAGAUGUACUUGUAGUGUGGGGUAUUGGCCAUCGCUGCUGCUACUUAACAACUGUGUGGGGCCCUUAUCCAUCGCUACUGAUAAGCAUCUACCUAUAAGGUAUUUCCUAGUAGUGGUAGUCAAUGGCCUAUCUUUCUGUUGCGAUUCAAUACCGAAGCAUGGCCUGAAAUCGAGCCCCUAAACAUCAGCCAAUGCCUAGCAAUGUGGUCAUCGACCAACGUAACAACCACAAACUCCUCAUCAUCCGACGACGAAUCAUUCGAAUCGCAAAUGAAGUUCUUGAGAAAGUACUCAUCUCCACUAUCCAUUUAUACCUCGCGGGUGUGAAACGCCGAACACCUUGCGGAUGUGGUUGAAGAAGCCAGCAGGUGAAGAGCCCCGUCCGUCUCGCAGUCCAGGCAGCAGGCCUGUCGGCGUGGAGGCGACUAUGGAGCGUGGAUGCCGUGCUUGGAGCAUUGCCAGCAAGGAAGGAUGUCAGGGGCUGGCGUGGCCAUGGGGAUGCUACGGCGGCGGCGAAAACAGGUCACCAACGCCAGCAAGAGCGGCCAUCGGGUGCGAUGUGCAGCUGAGGGAGGUGUGUGGAAGCGGGCGGUGGCCUGAGCAGCGUCCAACCGGACGACGGCGGCGAGGGCUGGGUGGCCGGGUGUCUUGGCUGUGGAUGGGCCAGGGGGACAAGGGCAGGCGUCACGCGUGUCCGCUCCGACGCAACCCGGCUCAAAUUUAAGCCUGAAAUGUGUCACGGACGGACAAAAAACCGAUACUUGCGGACACGUGGCAGCUACUGGUACCACGGAGGCUAGAUAUGCCGAUUGUCGUUGCUCUGCAAGGGGGACCAGGCUGUACUCGUUGCCCACCCAAGUCUGCAGCAAGACUUCACCGACACGUGUAGGGGCAGAGUGUAAAUCAAAGGUGCAGAGGUUAUAUUUUUCUUUUAGACAAACUCGCCAAGCUUUAUUUAUAUCGCAAAAAUGUUCUCUGAUACAAAGUUAAGAUCACAAAGCCAAACAUGGCGGCCAAACCCUAGCAAGGUUGUGAGCCUCGAUGUUCGAGCUCCUAAACUCGUAGACUAUAUUACAGGAAGGAAACAAAACUACAUACUCCUUGAUUUCAUGUAUUAUUGCUCCGUACGCUGCCAAAGAUCCUUGCUCAAUUCCGUCCACCACUGUCUUACAGUCUGUCGCUAUGUGUAUAUUAUGGACAUAUAGGUCGAGAGCUAGUGAUAAAGCUUCCCGGACUGCCAUUGCUUCAAGAGUCUCUGGGUCUGAAAUAUGUCUGACCGUUAUACAUGAGGCUCCCAGGAACUUACCUCCCAAGUCACGGCUCACAACAGCAAGUGCACCAUAGCUCCCGUUUCUCAUCACUGCCGCACCAGUAUAAAACUUCGCAUGGUUCGCUGGAGGAUGAGGUGCAGAGGUUACGUAUACGGACGUCGGUGGCCUCGGGGCCUUGGGCCGGCGACGAGGUGUCGAACUAAUAGUUCGGAAAUCUUUCUCUUAUUUUCUUGGGCAUGUUGUUUGUUGAAUGGAGUGUAGCAGGAGCACCAUAAUAUAUUAUGUUUUCUAAACCUGGACGUGUUCCUUUUUUUUUAUCACCUAGGUGAAAUUUCUUUUGGUCUUUGACUAACCAGUCCCUUCCUACGAAGGAUGUCCUACACCAUCGCAACAUGUCACAGGAAGACAAUUGCGGACUUUGUGUGACUGAAAUUCCUGGAAACACUCGUUGAUGGAUUGUGCCAUGUCUGAGUGUCUGUGGGCCAAGGUUUUGGAUUUNNNNNNNNNNNNNNNNNNNNNNNNNNNNNNNNNNNNNNNNNNNNNNNNNNNNNNNNNNNNNNNNNNNNNNNNNNNNNNNNNNNNNNNNNNNNNNNNNNNNNNNNNNNNNNNNNNNNNNNNNNNNNNNNNNNNNNNNNNNNNNNNNNNNNNNNNNNNNNNNNNNNNNNNNNNNNNNNNNNNNNNNNNNNNNNNNNNNNNNNNNNNNNNNNNNAAUACCGAACAUAUUUCGGACCAAAUUUUUAACUGAAUUUUGAAUUCAAAUUAUUUUAAACUAGAUAUAUAGAUAAGGCUUGAACUAGUAUUGAGCACAAAUGUGAUCGUAUCUCAGUGGAACUUCCUUUACACACGCGCUAAGAAGGUCGUGAGUUUUGACUCUUGAUUGGUCCUUAUUUUCACACGUAUGUAUUCUGAAAAAUAUAUUAAAAAAAAGUUGUGCAAACUGCAAAUCAGGGGACUCCAACCACCACCAUGCCACAAGUAAAUUUCUUUUGAAACACAGUACAGACACAAGUGCUCAUAUAAACACGCACAUCCUACCCCUAUGAGCACCUCCGACAGACUAAGCCGGCAUAUCUCCUCCUACUGAAAGUGUAUCGCCGGAAAUCCUGAAAUAAAUCCAGGAUAAAUGCGUAUUGCCGAAAAUUCUAAAAUAAAUCCAGGAUAAAUGCGAGCACCAGGACUUGAACCCUGGUGGGCUGGGGAUACUACUGUCCACCUAACCAUCUCAACCACAGGUUGAUUCGCCACACCACAAGUAAGUUUGGUGGUUUUAUUGAGAUGCUACAGUAUUUUAGUAUACUUUGGAGUUUGGACACAAAAAUUCAAAAAAAAUCGGAAUUUUUGCUCGGGAUAAGUCUUUCUCCUGGGGCAGCAAGAAGCUCGGUAUCCGCCCUGUAACCGUUUUUCAAGGACGGUAUGCAAAACCAUGGUGGGGCUCUUGCAGACCAGGACCUAUUUUUUACGUGCUUGCAGACCAGGACUUGGUGGGAGUGAUGAAGCAAACUAGGGAACCAAACGCACAAUGUUGGAUAUUUUCCUUGAUAAAUUCUUUGCGUCACACAGACUUUGUGUUUAUCUUGGUCACUCAUUGGGCCAUAUGCAUGAUCUCCAAAGUUUGCAAGCCACGCAUAUAUUUGUCCAAAGGUACCUGUCCGACCUUGAAUCCUCCAAGCCGCAAGUACAACCUCGGCAACAAGACACUUGCUGUUACCUAUUGUAACUCAGAUCGAGACAUGUAUUUCGAAGUAGUAGUAAAUUGGGAGAGAGACGCAACACAAGGAUCGUAUCUUAACCCUAGCUCGAAUUGGCAGAAAUUAAUCCCCCACACGAUCGCCGUCCUUAACACUGGAUCCAUCCCCUCGUGACCCGAUCGAUCUGUGGGAGAGAGUACGUGCCAGCAUGCCAAGGAAGAACGCCGCCGCCGCCAAUGAAGCCCUCGCCCCCAGGUGCUGCCCCAUCCUCCUCCCGGAAUUGCUGGCCAGCAUCCACGACCGCCUGGGGCUGAUCGACCGCAUGGCCUUCGCCGCGGUCUUCGCAGCAUCCUGCGGCGCCGACCUAUUCAAGCCGUCCGCUCCGUGGCUCCUCCUCCCCGGCAAGACCACGGAGACCGCCGAGCUCUUCUCCGUCGCCGACCGGCGGGCCGCCACCGUGCGCGGUCACUUCGUCAUCCUCGGCUCCUCCCGCGGGUGGGUCGCCACGGCUGACGACCUAGCCCAGAUCUACCUCGUCAACCCGGCCACCGGCGAGCAGCACGAGCUCCCGUGCAUCACCACCAUGGGCGUCUUUCUCGAUCACAGGUGGCCCCACAACUCCUUCUCGGUGGAUCUUAUGCGCUUCCUGACCAUCCGCUACGGCCGCGGGCCGCCGUUCCCGGAUAAUUUCUUGGCGCGUUGGGGAUAUGGGACCUACUCGUUCCGUCCAGAACUGAUGUUCUACCGGAAGGUUGUCCUGUCCCCGCGCCGCCCCGGCAGCUACGGCACCGCCAUGCUGAUCCUGGGAUGACUUUUUGGCGCCCCGGCCUUCGCUACGGCGGAGGAUGGCGUGUGGAAGCUAGCGCGGUCAGAGGACGGAGUCGAGGACGCCAUCCACCACGAUGGCCAGUUUUACUCCAUCUCCUAUUCGGGCGUCGUCGAGGUGUGGCAGUGUGAGUCCGGCGAGUACACAAGCACGGCUGUCACGCCAAGGCUGUCCAUUGAAGAAGGCAGCUCGCCAUGCCCUCUCAAGUACCUGGCGGUGGCGCCGGAUGGGCGGCUGAUGGUGGUGCUCAAGUACGCCCAUGUGACGAAGAAGCAGUAUGGUCAGGGCCGGUGGACGUGCUCCUUCAAGGUCCAAGUCCUCGGUGACGACGGGCAGUGGAAUGAGACAAGGGACAUAGGUGACGUCGCGCUGUUCGUCGGGAUGAACAGUGACGUACGGCAGCCUGCGGGCGACGGUGACGAGCCAAGCCGUGGCUCGCCUCCGUCAUGAAAAGCAAUGCGUGGGAUCAGAAUCGUAUGUUCGCCGUCUCGUCGCCUGUACACAGCGCCGUGAACGAUUAGUAAAUGUUGAUCGGUGGAUGAAGUGUGACUGCAUACACAGGGCAUUUCUCCCCUUCCCCCCAACCUCCCUAUCUUUUUUUAGACAUCCCCAACCUCCCUAUCUGAAGGCGAAACCAUGGUGGCGGCAAAUAGUAUGGCGGAGUUUGCAGGCCUACGCCACAAGCCCACAACCGGCUCGAAUUUCUGCUAGAUCCGGUAAUGUCUGAACUAUAUAAAUCUGUUCGAUUCGAUCCGGACACGCCCAUGCACAAAUAUAUGUUUGACUGGUAUUCGAUUUCUUAGAUUCCCGCUGAGAGAGGUCACUACCGGCGAUGGGCAUCCAAAUCCAUUAGUUUUGAUGGCUGUUGGGCCGUCGGCACCGGCAAGAGCCGACUCGUCGUGCGCGGUUCUGGUGGGAGAACUCAGCGGCACAGCUGAGCAGAGCAAUUCCGCCCGGAAAAGGAAGCAGUCAGCAACUCAGUACGUCGAGUCCACCGGGAUGGUGAACCCAGAUGCACCAGGCUGGAGCAGAUGGUGUUUUUUCCUCUGGAUCCAUAGUUCUGAUUUUUUGUUGCCUAAGUCUGUGUCUAGUGUGCAUGAGUACUACUGGCAACAAGCUGAUCCUAUGAUUCUUUGUUUUUUGAACUGAGCCUAUAAUUUGGGUAAUAAACCAUGCAUGCAAUUAGCAUAUAUAAUGCUUCCCGGUUAGACCAUGCCAACCAUCACCGAAAUUAGAAUACCUAGUCUUCUAUGGGCAUAGCAUGCCAUCCAUAUGUAAAUGAAACAAAAAAACACGGUAUCACUGUUGCAUGAAAAAUGAUCGCAUCAUCUCAGAAACUGUUAUUUUUUUAAUUUUAAAAAAGGUCAGUGACUGCUCUUUGAUUUGUUGAAUUUGCCACAGAUUCCAGUACAGAGAGAUAAGUGCAGGUGUUGAGCAGCCAGAUCCAUUCGUUUCAAUGGUUGUUAAACCAUCGGCAUUGACACACGCCGAGAGGCAUCGUGCGCGGUUGUUCUUGGACAACUAAGCGGCACUGCUGAGCAGAGCAAUUCUGCCGGCAAGAGGAAGGAGUCUCCAACUCAGUCCGUCGAGUUCACCGGGAAGGUGAACUCAGAGGCACCAGGGUGGACCUGAAGGUAUACAUAUAAUUGAGUGUUUUUCUUCUCUGUAUAUAUGGUUCUGUUUUUUAUUCCCUAUUCCCUAUGUCGAUGGAUGUCCAGUGCACAUUAGUACUACUGCCAAGUAGUUGAUCCUCUGGCUGUGGCAGUCAUUCAUUCAUGCAAUUUAGCUUCCUAAAUGGUUUCUGCGGCAGGUCAUGUCAUCCUCGCAUGGAAUUGGCAUGCAUACUGUUUUCUGGGCAUAUCAUGUGAAUGAUUGUAAUGAAACUCGAAAGAACAUGCCCUCCAGGCUGUUGAAUAAAACAUUAUUGCAUCAUCUUAAUGAAUGUGAAAUUCACUUCAGGUUAAGAGUUGUUUUUUUAGCCAAAACCGUAGAACAAUCGUUUGUUUUACGGUAUUUUCCUUAAUUCAAUAAAAUAUUUACAAGUCCAGUUCAAUGAAUCACUCAAUACCAGUUUUGUGAAACAUAGAAAAAAUUACAAGUUCUAUGAUAUACAAGUGCUGAUCAUAUCAGCCUUAUCUUGCUUUGCUCUGAUUCUAGUUACUUCAAGUCCCUCCAGGUUAAGAGUUGGUCGCGCCCCUCCGGAUAGGGCACCUGUCCAGGCAGAGCAACUCCAUUAGAAGAAACAAUCAGGAGGUAAGCUGAUAAACCCUUGGAGAAUGUGGUGAAGCCAAGAUUAGGAUGAUUUUUGACACACUUGGGGAAGCAUACACUAGUAGAAAAAGGGUCAUCUGUCCUGGUUUCCUGCCCCUCCCGCGGAACUAGUACCACCAAUAGGUUGGUAAGGGCCUUUUGUCCCAGUUGUUGAACCGGGACUAAAGGGUCGUUACUAAUGCCCUAGCCCUUUAGUCCCGGUUCUUACACGAACCGGGACAGAUAGGCCUCCACAUGGCCGGUGCGGCGAGCCCAGGCAGGAGGGCCUUUGGUCCCGGUUGGUGGCACUAACCGGGACCAAUAGGCAUCCACGCGUCAGCAUUUCAGGGGCUGGGGUUUUUGUUUNNNNNNNNNNGUUGGUAAGGGCCUUUUGUCCCGGUUUUUGAACCGGGACUAAAGGGUCGUUACUAAUGCCCUAGCCCUUUAGUCCCGGUUCUUACACGAACCGGGACAGAUGGGCCUCCACGUGGCCGGUGCGGCGAGCCCAGGCAGGAGGGCCUUUGGUCCCGGUUGGUGGCACUAACCGGGACCAAUAGGCAUCCACGCGUCAGCAUUUCAGGGGCUGGGGUUUUUGUUUUUUUUUUUGAAAGGGGGGUUGGGGGUUUUGGGGGGUUAAUUUAGGUGUUUCAUAUAUUGUGUUAGCUAGCUAAUUAAUAGAGAGAAGUGUCCUCUCUUAUCUCCGUGCUUGGUCGACGCUACGUACUAUAUACGUAUAGAGAGGACUAGACACGCUAGCUACUAAGAAAAUGAAGGAAACAGAAGAUCGUCAUGAACAUAUGCAUACAGANNNNNNNNNNNNNNNNNNNNNNNNNNNNNNNNNNNNNNCACGCGUCAGCAUUUCAGGGGCUGGGGUUUUUGUUUUUUUUUUUUUGAAAGGGGGGGUUGGGGGUUUUGGGGGGUUAAUUUAGGUGUUUCAUAUAUUGUGUUAGCUAGCUAAUUAAUAGAGAGAAGUGUCCUCUCUUAUCUCCGUGCUUGGUCGACGCUACGUACUAUAUAUAUACGUAUAGAGAGGACUAGACACGCUAGCUAGUAAGCAAAUGAAGGAAACAGAAGAUCAUCAUGAACAUAUAUAUGCAGACAGAGAGAAGUGAUAUCGACCACCUCUCCUUCUCCGAGAGAUUGGUCGAACAACAAGUUCUCGUAUAUCUAUCCAACACUACCGGCUACAUAUAUACAAUAAUUAUCUCUUACAAUAUAAUCUCCUAAUUAUAUAUGUACACAGGGUCCACAUAGUAUUCUCCGUUUUCAGCGAUCACGUGGUCAAGGAAGAAUGCCGCCAGUUCCUCUUGAAUUGCUCGCAUACGAUCUGGUGGUAGGAGUUCAUCCCGCAUCCGAAAAAUCUAAUUUGAAGAAGGGGCCAAUACUUAUAUAUAUAUAUAUGAAUAAAUGAAACUCAACACAAAUGAUGGUAAUAAAAUAAAAUUGUGAAUAUUAUUGCUUACGCACUUCAUAUUGUUCGUCAGAGUAGCCCUGCUCACAGGUCGUGUAGCGGAUGGACUCGCAAACGUAGUAUCCAUAGUAAUUAUUCCCGGCUUCCUGCCACAACCACUUUACAAGAAAUAGAGGUCAGUCAAACUGAUAAGCAAGCAUUCUAAAUAGUAUUGAUGAAACUAGCGCUUGAAUCACUAGGAGAUGCGCGGAACAUGCUACUAUAGUACUUACUUUCGGGUGUCUAAAUUGUAGCUUCUUCGGCAGUCCCGGAGUUUUUUUGGUGAAUUUUCUCCAAACCCUACCAGACAAAGAAAACAAUUACUUGAUAUCAGGAAAUGAACAAAGUUGCUGAUAUGGUGGAUGAUCGAUUUAACUUACUUCUCGAGCAUUUGAGUCAUGUCCGCAUAGUCCUCGGGAUCUUUUCGUCUCAAGUCUAAGACGGUUACUAGUCCCUGCUCAAGCUUAAUCUCUAGGAGAAUAUAGUGGAAGCUGCGCACGCAUGCAUAAGUCGUGAAUUACAUUACUAUAACCUAGACUAAUAAGGGAAACUGAAUAUGCACAAGACAGUAACACUCACUUGAAGUUGUAACGAAAGAGUAUUAUAUCUUUGUUUUCAUUUAUUACCAACGAUCGUAGCAAGUUGGCCUCGGUAUUUUCGGCAUGAUAUUUAACCUCAGUUGCAUCUAUGAGAUUUGUGUUAAUGAAUCCAAUAUUACCGAUUUGUCUUUUCUUCAAUUCGGCGAUCUUCAAUCUGCAUAAUAUAGUGAGGAUAAUUAUAAAUACAUGCAAUGAAAGAGCUGACCUAUAUAGAGAGACUUAAUGACAGAAGUAGUACUACUUACAGACAGUAGCAAGUGAUCGUUGAUUUAUCGAGGGCCUUUUGAUUGAAAAACUGGAAGAACUCCUAAAAUGGAACAUUCAACAUUUCAAUUCCAACGAGGUCAUGCUCCUCUUUAACUCUCAGCGUCAAAGUAUUCCUCCCCCCAGACUCUCUGCAGGUUUUCAUGUACCAAUCAUGUAAUCUUCGCAUCAUUGUUGUUAGAGAUCUUUCAUCUUUGACGAGAGGCUUCUCGUAAUGGUAUUUGUGUUCGUCCACCUCCAAGAAAUCAUAAUGUACAUCGUCGGGCAGGUAAUCUCCAAGAUUGCUAUAACCGGGCGCCAUCCUCGUAUCAUUAGCGAAGAUGUUGCUAGACACCUUGAGCGGGGGGCACGAUUGGUUCGCUUGUUCGCCGAGCUGGGCAAUUUUUUUCCCAGCUCGUCGUUCUUUUAACCUUUGAUCACUGACAGUACUUCCCGACCGCUCCGUUUCGACAAAUGUCUUUGCAAUAAUGCGCUCAUAGUUGCCUUUCGGUGGAGACUUUGGUGGUUUUGUCAGGGCAGCCAGAGUGCGCUUAGCUUUCAAUGGAUCUACCUUCUCCUCCGGAGGUGGAUGUUUCUUUGCUUUCACCCCUUCAAAGAAGUUCGUCACUUCGGCUCGCACGAUCUUCGUGGUUUCCUCCUCGGUCCUCUCGUAUGGUAACUUCUCUGGAGUCUUCAAAGAAGGACCGAAUCUGUAUUGCCUCCCGCUUCUGGCUGUACUGCUAGACGCCGGCAGAGCAGACGGAGCGGCUGCGGCAGUCUUCUUUCCUUGCUUACGAGGCGGAGGAGAAGGACUACGACGUGCCGGAGCAGCCGGAGCGGCGGCGGGUCUCUUCCGCCCUUGCUGACGAGGCGGAGAAGGAGGAGGCUGGCUGCUCGGGCACGCCGGCGCAGGCGGAGAAGGAGGUGGGGUGCCGCCACGCGCCGGAGAAGGAGGCUGAGUGCCCUGAUCACUCGCCAGAGGAGGAGGAGGCGGAGUGCCGCCACGCGCCGGAGAAGGAGGCUGAGUGCCCUGAUCACUCGCCGGAGGAGGAGGCGGAGGAGGAGGCAGAGUGCCCUUACUCGUCGGAGGAGGAGGAGGAGGCGGAGGCGUCCAGUUCGGAAGGUUGAUGAGCUCCUUCCGCCAUAGGCAUGGAGUCUUCAGAGCAGAACCCAGCCGAGUCUCCCCUUCACCGAUAGGGUGGUCAAGCUGGAGGUCCUCAAAUCCCUCCGUUAUUUCGUCCACCGUCACCCUAGCAUAUCCUUCUGGAAUCGGACGACAGUGAAAAGUUGCGCCGGGUUCAGGAGGUCGAACAGAGCCGACAGCCGCCUUGACUUUGAAGUUCUGCCAUUGCGUCAUAAGGUGGCAAUGUUGAGACUCCGUGAUAGCAUCCACGGGGUAGCUAGCAGGAGUCGUCAAGACAUGCUCCGGCUGAAGUAGCUCGGUGGAAGCCACGCUGCUUCUCCGCUGAGAUGGCGGGGUAGCUUCGGGGGUAGUUUCGGCAGGUCGCUUGCUGCGAGCUACGUCUCGUUCCUCUAGCGCUUGAACCCUUUCGUGCAGCUUCUGAAUUUGGGUCUGCUCCACUUUUUUGCUCCUCUCCUGGCAUUUGUAACCGCCCGUGUCCGGAAAACCAGCCUUCCACGGAACGGAGCCUGGCGUGCCUCGUGUCCGUCCAGGGUGCUCAGGAUUCCCGAGGGCCAUUGUGAGCUCGUCGUUCUCUCUGUCUGGAACGAACGUCCCUUGCUGCGCUGCAUCGAUAUAGUGCUGAAGCCUCUUGACUGGUAUUCUCAAAAGCUCGUCCGUCCAAACGCACUUCCCUGAUACAGGGUCCAAGGUUCCGCCAGCCCCGAAGAACCAAGUCCGGCAACGGUUUGGCCAGUUCAUUGUCUCUGGUUCGAUCCCUUUAUCAAGCAGAUCAUUCUCAGCCUUGGCCCAUUUAGGCCGGGCUUUGAGGUAGCCACCUGACCCCGUGCGAUGGUGAAGCUUCUUCUUCGCAGCAUUUUUCUUGUUUGUCGCUAACAACUUCUUACUCUUUUCCGAUGUCUUGUGGGCCACAAAUGCGGGCCAGUGAUCUCUGAUCUUCUCAUAUUUGCCGAUGAAUUCUGGUGUCUCUUCUUUGUCGACAAACAUUUUCAGCUCAUUCUUCCACCUCCUGAAUAGGUCUACCAUCUUCUUAAGAGCAUGAGACUUGAUUAAUUGCUCUUUAACUGGCUUCUCCGGAUCCUCCUCUGGCGGUAGGGUGAAAUUUGCCUUCAUCUCAGUCCAAAGAUCAUCUUUCUGCAUAUCAUUGACAUAAGACACCUCAGGGUCUUCCUUCUUAGGCUUAUAGCAUUGGUGGAUGCUGAUCGGGAUCUUGUCCCUAACAAGAACCCCGCACUGAGCAGCAAAUGCUUCCUUUGUCCGGAUGGGUUCAAUCCGUUGGUUGUCGCGCGCGAUUGCUGUGAUCUCAAACCUUUCAUCCGAGCGCAACUUUCUCUUCGGGCCUCGUCUCUUUACCGAAGUUGUGCUCGAUCCAGAGGGCUAGAAAAAAGAAGAAAGACGAGAGUUAAUUAAUAUGUGUACAUACCAAAACAAUGAAUGCAUCAAUUAGCUAGUCAGCAUAGGCUUAACUAAUAUAUUUACCUUGCCGGACUCUGUUCGGUCACCGGAGCCGUCACCACGGGCUCCUUGUUGCACCAGCAUUGGGUCACCGGAGCCAGCAUAAUCAUGUCUUUCCUCCUCCACUCUUCGAUCACCGUAGCCUGCUUCUUCACCCUGUUCUUCCAGACCAUCAUUGUUGUUAAGAUACGACAAGACAUCACCUCCGGCUAAGAUUAUGUCCCCCAACACCUCUUCUGCUUCCUCGUCUCGUCCGUGCUCCAUUGUUUCUGCAAAUAUUACAACAUGGCAAUUAUUACACAAACAUGACAGCAGGUGGAUAUAUUAGUGCAAACGUAGACCUAGCUUAUUCCGGGUUUGGGGUGGCCUCGGCAACGCUUCAAGGGUAGGGGCGCGGUGGGAGGGGGUAGGAGACCGACAUCGUUUUUUCUAGGGUUUGGGUGUCCUCGAGAGUUUUGGUCGAGCGAGAGGGCCGGGGGGUGCUCCCGUGGUAUAGUUAUCACGGUCGAAGUUAUCCGGGAGGGGGUUACAUCGACAACGACGACAUACAUACAUGGGAAAAUAAUGUUAUCGGGGAGGGGGUAGGUCGAACCCCUCCCCCCUCCCUCGUGUUGAAGUUAUCGGGACACGGGGUAUAUCGACAACGACAUAUCCGAUAAAAAAUAAGAAGACGAAGAAGAAAUAAAAAGAGGAUAAGAAGAUAUUAAUAGAGGAGAAGAUUGAAGAAAAAAAGAAGAAGAAAAAAGAGGAGAAGAAGAAAGGAAUAGAGGAGCAUAUAUAAAACCUUUUCUUCUUCCUUCUAUUCCUUCUUCCUAAAUAUAUAAAAAAUUUCUAAAAAUGAAACUAACCUAAAAUGUACUAAAUCAGAG
rnacentral:lncRNA from 1 species